UCUUUCUGAUAUUCUUUUCUUUCCGUCUCCACAUUGAAGAGAAUGGAGAGUCUCAGAUCCAUGUCUGCUCGUUCCUGAUUUUUUCCCCUUUUUCUCUCUCCGUUAUGCUCGUACUUCUCACCUUCUCUCUGGGCAAGGCUUGUGAACAAGAGAGAUUGAAAUUUAACAGAAUGACUAAGUAGUGUUGGGUCUUUAAGAGAAACCCAUCUAUCUUCUUUUCGAUCUUCUUCUUCCUUCUUUCUUUGUUCUUCUUUUCUUUCUCUAUUUGAUUCUUCGCUCUCAAGAAACUGAAGAAGAAAAAGAAUGAUAGGAGGAACCAUUUUAAUCUUGUUUUCUAUCUUCUUCUUCCUCAUCUCUUUCCGAUAUUCGCUUCUUUCCCUCCCGACAUUGAAGAGAACGAAGAGUUUCAGACCCAUGUCUGUUCUUUCCUAUCUUUUUCCCCGUUCUCUCCCUCUGUUAUGCUUGUAUUUCUCUCCUCUCUGCCCAUGGCUUGUGGGAAAGAGAUUGAAUCUUUCAAUACUGUUGGGUCUUUAAGAGAAACCUAUCUAUCUUCUUUUCGAUCUUCUUUUUUCCUUCUUUCUUUGUUCUUCUUUUCUUUCUCUGUUUGAUUCUUUGCUCUCAAGAAACUGAAAAAGAAAUAGAAUGGUAGAAAGAUGACCAUUCUAAUUUUUUUUCUAUCAUCUUCUUCCUUACCUCUUUCUGAUAUUCUUUUAUUUCCCUCUCCACAUUGAAGAGAAUGGAGGGGUUUCAGAUCCAUGUCUGCUCGUUUCUGUCUUUUUCCCCUUUUUCUCUCUCUGCUAUGCUCGUACUUCUCAACUUCUCUCUGGGCAAGGCUUGUGAACAAGAGAGAUUGAAAUUUAACAGAAUGACCAAGUAGUGUUGGGUCUUUAAGAGAAACCCAUCUAUCUUCUUUUCGAUCUUCUUCUUCCUUCUUUCUUUGUUCUUCUUUUCUUUCUCUAUUUGGUUCUUUGCUCUCAAGAAACUGAAGAAGAAAAAGAAUGGUAGAACGAUGACCAUUCUAAUUUGUUUUCUAUCAUCUUCUUCCUUACCUCUUUCUGAUAUUCUUUUCUUUCCCUCUCCACAUUGAAGAGAAUGGGGGGGGUUUCAGAUCCAUGUCUGGUCGUUUCUGUCUUUUUCCUGUUUUUCUCUCUCUCUUUUGUGCUUGUAUCUCUCUUCUUUUCUCUGGGCAAGGCCAGAUCUGAAAACAAAGAACGUAGAAAACUUUUUGAAAGUAAAAGAAAGGAAGAAGGUGGUCUGAAGAGGAGAAUCGCACGGUCAGUUUGCUUUUAAAGGGAAAAUAAAGAAAUGCAGACUGCGUUAAAAUGACGCCGACAACGGUCAAUUUGUUUUUUAAAAAACUUUUUAAAGAAAAGAAAAAGAAAGAAAUAAGCAGCGUUAAAAAAGUUAAACUACACGGAGUCCAGGCUUAGGGUGUUGUUUUAAAUUUUUGUUAUAUUUUAUAAAAAAUUAAAACAUUUUUAUGAUAAAAAACUGUAAUUAUUAAGAGAGAGAUAAUAAAUUAAAAGUUUUUUUUUAAGUAAAAUAUCAUAAAUAAGAAUGUAUGAUAAACACUUAUUAAUUAAUUCUAAAAAAAUGUACAUGAUUAUUUGACAGAAAAAUGAAAAAGACUCCCUUGUAGAUGAUUUUUUUAUUAAUUAUUAUUGAAAGAAAAUAAAAAUAAAUAAAUUUAAAGCAGAUAAAUAUAAUUUUACAAUAAAUUUUAAUAAUUUAUGUUAGAAUAUAAAUAAUUAACUAUAUAUAUUUUGAUUGUAUUAUAUAAUUGAUUAACUAUACAUAUAAUUAUGCUUCAAAUGUAGAUUAUGAAAUAAUUCAUAAAGUAAAAUGUUUUUAUUUAGUUUUAGAAAGUAUGAAAAUUUAUGUAUAUUCAAUGAAAGUUGGUGAGUUCCUCCAUAUUACUUUAAAAAAUUAUUAAAUUUUGGGUAUUUAUUAUUCAACUUUUGUAAACAGUUGGCAUUUAAUUAUGAAAUAAAUAUUUUAUGUAAUAGUUAUAAGCUAAUGUUGUAUUAUAUUUUAUUUAACAACUAUUCAACAAAACUAUAUAGAAUAUUAAUUAAUUAUUUAAAAAAUUAUAAAAAAAUAUCAUACUUUUUGGGUUCUCUAUAUGCAUUAAUUAAAGCAACAGUAUCUCAACCACACAUUUGGAAAAAAAUAAUAUCUUUCGUGUAUGAUAAAUACGGACACCAACCACUACAUGUCAAUUAAAAAGAGAACAAAAAAAAAGAUAAAAAUGCAGAGGAGCACAGACCAUUCAAGUAACAAAACAAUGUUAUCUAUAAAAGAAUAAAAAAUGCAAAACAAACAACUAGACUAUUUUAAAUUUUUUGCCUAAAGAGUCACAUAAUAACAUGAGCAAUUUAUUUUAAUUAGCUGAGCAAAAACAAAAUAUUGGGUACACGAUUAUUUACCUCAUCUUUGGAGUUCGAAAUCAACAAUAAGCAAAUAAAAGUGAGCAAAUCAAUUUGUAAAUAACAAAGAUUCGUCGAUAUUAUAAUUCAAAGAAGUAAAAAAUCAUUAGCAAAUAAAUAGAACAUAUGGAUAAUUUCCCAUGGGAGCUACGCGUACCAAAAUUGAAAUAUAAAAAAAAAUCAACUAGAACCGGGAGUAACAAGCAUUAAAAGAGAACAAUAAACUUAUUUUUUUAUGAACAAAUAAGAUUUUUCUACAUUGUAAUUUAAAUGAGAAGAGAACUAAGCAAUUAAAUGUAACAUAUGCAUAGUUUGGCAUGAAAAAACAGAUAUCAAAACUUCAAAUUAAAAAAAGACUAAAACAAAGAACAAACAUCAAAAGAGGACAAUUUUAUUACUCUCAGCAUAAUAUUUAAAAUUGCCUCCUUUUAAGUACUGCUAUGUUAAUGUACACAUAAAAGAAAUUCACUAAGCAAAUAAUGCUAAUUUUAUCAAUUUAUAAUCAUUUCAACUCAUACAAAUGUAAAAAAAAUGACAUGUUCGUUCUAUAGACUGAUAUUUGGGAUUUAUUGUUUUUUUAUCCUUCACUUUUGUUUACUCAUUUUUAGGCAAUUAGUAGUCAAAAUCCUAGAUCACCUCAAUUCUUAAAACAAACAAUCAUUGGAUUCAAAUAUCAAAUAGAUAUAUUAUUAAUUUAAGUCAAAGUUAUCCAAUAGUCAUCACUUGCAACUCUUCCAACAGUAUUUUUGACAUACAGCUAAUGUUGUAAAUUUACCAGACAUUUCUUUUUCUUAAGCACCAAUCCCUAAGUUCACUUUUCAUAACUAGAAAACAAUAUUCUAAUGGACAUCCUUCAAUAAUUAGAAUCAUCCUCUAUCUACUAUAUCAACUCGCAACACCUUGAACUAUUUAAUCCAUGACUUUAUCACUAAAAUCUUCAAAAUAAGAAAAUGAACGAUAAUUCUAAAUUAUAGAUUUCUAAAAAUUAAACUCUUAAAAUAAAAUAAUCCUCCAAUCUAAAUCUAAAGUAAAAACAUAAUAUUGAAUACGUGAUGGAUGAUGCAGAAAUAGAUAGCAUUGUAACUAUCCCAAACUCCAUCAAUUGAAUUUUAAAAAAUAAAUUAGGCUUAAAAAAAGUAAAACUAUACUGAAAAAUAUAAUAAAAUAAGGAAGGCAAACCUCUUAUUCCACAGAUACCUCAUAAUCCACGUCUAAAAGAGUGCUACCAACAAAAAAGAAUAAAAUACAAGUGACACGUCCGGACCAUCUUAAACUUUUUGCCUAAAGAGUUACAUACUAACAAAAUAUAAAAAUUUUGACUACCCUAAAAGAUAAAAACACAUGCUUAUUUACCUUAAAAGUGCUCCAUAAGAUUGAUAAUAACAUUCGGUAGUCCUACAUUAAAGUAAACAUAAAGAAUAUUGUUAAAUAAAUAAUUCUAAAUAUAAAAAUAUAUGUAUAUAAAUACAAAAUAAAAUUUGUAUCGUAAGUAAAGUAAAAUAAACCUUUUAUUCCACGAAUAUCUUAUAACCCAACAUAUUUCCAGCAGUGUUACCCACAAAAGAGAACAAAAAAAAAAAGAUUGGACUCUCUUUAACUUUUUGCCUAAAGAUCUUCAUAGUAACAAAGAAAGAAAAUUUUAACUAGUUAUAGAAACAACAUAAUAUUGAAUACGUGUUUAUUCAUCUGAUUUUUGCCGUUUGAAAUCUACAACAAUUACACAAAAGUAAGCAUAUCAAUUUAUAAAUGAUCAAGACAGCCACUAUUCGCACGUUUGCUACAACAAGUAAUUAUGCAUAAUCAUUAAAAUAAAUAUUUAAUUUUCAUCACUUACAGCACAAUUUUAAAGAAUCAAGACCUCCUUCCUUUUGCCAGCGAUGCGAGAAACAAGACAAACAUACCAAAAUGCAGGAAAUAUAAUGUGAAAGACAAGAAGAAAGAGAUACCUCAAAAAACCUAGCGACUCAUAGUACCAAACCACUAUAUAAUAGACCAGCUCCAAUAUACUGAUUACCAAUUUAGUAAAUGCAACCUUAUUAGAAAGAUAAAAGAAGCAAAAAAAACCGCUGACCAAGUAUUCCUGCAACUGAAGAAAACGAGUUCCUGCCAUCACCAGUAUCUGCCAUCAAAUCGAACCACAUAUCUUCUUUUCCACUAAACUGAUCAUAGAGUAGAUCUCCUUUUAGCUCCAAAUGAAACCUUUUUAAAACUUAAUGUGAUAGAUAAUGCACAAAUAGAUAGCGUUGUAACCCUCUCCAACUCCAUCAAAAAAUUUUAAAAAAUAAAUUAGGCUAAAAAAAAACAAAACUAAACUGAAAAAUAUGAUAAAAGAAGAAAGACAAAUCUCUUAUUCCACAUAUACUUCAUAAUCUACAAACAAAAGAAAAUAAAACACAGGUGACACUGCUGGACCAUCUUAAACUUUUUGCCUAAAGAAUUACAUACUAACAAAAUAUAAAAAUUUUGAUUACCCAAAAGGAUAAACACAUAUGUUUAUUUACCUUAUAAGUGCUCCAUAAGAUUAAUAAUAACUUUCGGUAGUCCUACAUUAAAGUAAACAUAAAGAAUACUGCUAAAUAAAUAAUUCUAAAUAGAAAAAAUAUUUAUAUAUAUAUAAUAGAAAAUAAAAUUUAUAUCGUAAGUAAAGCAAAAUAAACCUUUUGUUCCACGAAUAUCUUAUAAUCCAACAUGUUUCCAGUAGUAUUACCCACAAAAGAGAACAAAAAAGAGAUAAUAUAUGAUUGGACUCUCUUAAACUUUUUGCAUAAAGAUCUUUAUAAUAACAAAGAAAGAAAAUUUUAACUAGCUAUAGAAAAAAAUAUAAUAUUGAAUACGUGUUUAUUUAUCUGAUUUUGGGCGUUUGAAAUCUACAACAAUUACACAAAAGUGAGUAUAUCAAUUUAUAAAUGAUCAAGACUCUUUUAAAAUUAGAAGAAAACCAAUAGCAAUUAAUUGUAACAAAUGCAGGCAUGGACAGAUUUCAAAACUUUAAAUUAAAAAAAACGACUAAAAUAAAAAAGAAAAAAUAUUAAAAGAGGACAAUUUUGUUGUCUUUUGCAUAACAUUAAAAACAACCUCAAGUAUUACUAUGUAAUUUUUGUUUUAGUUUACUUGAGUUUAUGAUUAUAUUUGAGUUUAUUUGUAAUUGUAUUAGAAUUUCAGCGUCUACUUGUUUUAGUUUGUUGUACAAUUUCACUCAAACUUAGUUGUUUGUUUCAUUUUUGUGGAAUUGCAAAAAAAUCAAUUGGAUUUUUCUUUAAAUAUACUUGAAUUUAUUAAUUUAUUUGAAUUUGUUUGUAUUUUUAUUCCAAUUUCAGUUUCUUAUUACAAUUUAUUUGUUUUGCAUUGUUCAUAUCGAUCUAGCGUCAUGUAGGUUUUUAGUGUUCAAAUCCAUCCUUCAACUAAGUUAUGGUAGCAUAAUUUAAAAAUUAUUGUUUGAUUAGUUAGUAAAAAAUAAAAAUAAUUGAUUAAUCAGAUAAUAAAAUCAUGAGGUAAACUUUCAUACGAACUCUCUUCCUCUGCCUUCCUGGUUCUCUUCUUCGUACACACUCUCCCUCUUUUGUUGCUCACAUACCGUAAAGCACGCCGUAGGCUAUACUGAGAGCCUGCCAGCGUAAGAGAGCCAGUAUUCGCAGGUUUGCUACAAUCAAUAAAUAUGCAAAAUCAUUAAAAUGAAAUUUGAAUUUCAUCACUUACAGCACAAUUUUAAAGAAUGCUCAUGACCUCCGUUAUCUUGCCAGCGACGCGAGAAACAAGACAAACAUACCAAAAUCUAAGAAAUAUAAUGGGAAAGGCAAGAAGAAAGAGAUACCUCCUAAAACACAGCAGCUCAUAGUACCAAACCAUUGUAUGGUCUAGCUCCAAAAUCCUAAUUACCAAUUCAGUAAAUGCAACAUUAUUAGAAACAAUGAAGAAACAAAAGAAACUGAUGACCAAGUACUCCUACAACUGAAGAAGACGAAUUUCCGCCAGUACCAUUAUCUACCAUCAAAUCAAACCACAGAUCUUUUUAACUAAAAUGAUCAUGGAGAAGAUCUCCUUAUGAAGCUCCAUCUAAAAACUUUUUAAAACUUAAUGUGAUAAAUGAUGCAGAAAUAAAUAAUGUUGUAACUCUCUCCAACUCUAUUAAAAAAUAUUAAAGAAAAAAUUAGGAUGAAAAAAAACAAAACAAAACUGAAAAACAGGAUAAAAGAAGAAAGACAAACCUCUUAUUCCGCUGGUUCCUCAUAAUCUAUAUCUAAAAGAGCGCUACGAACAAAAGAAAACAAAACACAAGUGACACGCCUGGACCAUCUUAAACGUUUUGACAAAGAGUUACGCACUAACAAAAUAUAAAAAUAUUAGCUACCCAAAAAGAUAAAAACACAUGAUUAUUUACGUUAAAAGUAUUCCUAAGAUUGAUAAUAACCUUCGGUAGUCCUAUAUUAAAGUAACCAAAAAGAAUAUCGUUAAGUAAAUAAUUCUAAAUACUAAAAAAUAUAUGUAAUAAAAAAUAAAAUUCAUGUCAUAAGCAUUAAAAAAUAAACCUUUUAUUUCACAAAUAUAUCAUAACCCGACAUUUUUCCAGCAAUGUUACCCAGAAAAGAGAACAAAACAGAGAUAAUAUAUGAUUAGAUUCCUUUCAACUUUUUACCUCAAGAUCUUCAUAAUAACAAAGAAAUAAAAUUUUAACUAGUUAAAGAAAAAACAUACUAUUGAAUAUAUGUUUAUUUACCUGAUUUUUACCAUUUGAAAUCUAGAACAACUACACAAAAGUAAGCAUAUCAAUUUAUAAAUGAUCAAGACUCUUUUAUGUUGUAAUUCAAAUCAGAAGAGAAUCAAUAGCAAUUAAAUAUAACAUAUGCACAACUUGACAUGGACAUUAAAAACGACCAUUAAAAGAGGACAAUUUUGUUGUCCUCUGCAUGACAUUAAAAACAGCCUCAAGUAUUGCUACAUUAAUGUACACACAAAGAAAUUCAUUGACGAAAAAUACUAGAUUGUUUUAAUUUAUAAUCAUUUCAACUCAUGAAAAUGUUAAAAACGAAAUAUUCAAUUUUUGGGUUGAUACUUGAAGUUUACUCUUUUUCCUUGUCAGUUUGUAAGGAUAGUUGUAAUUUAUUUGUUGUAGUUUGUCGUUAUUGUGUUUGAAAUGCUUGUUUGCUAAAAAAGUUGAAGAGCUAAAUGAAAUUUUUGUUUUGGUUUAAAAGCUAUUAGGUUUCUAAGAUCUUCAAAAUAAGAAAAUGAACGAUAACUCUAAAUUAUAAGUUUGUAAAAAUUAAACUCUUAAAAUAAAAUAAUCAUCCAAUCUAAAUCUAAAGUAAAGCUAACAUGUGAUAAAUCUUUAAGUUAGAAUUUUUCAGUCGCAGAAUUUUAUGUAUUUUAAAAACUAUUAAUUUUUUAAUGAAGUAAGGAAACUUAGCUCUCCAUCUACAUUUCGCAUUUUUUUUAUUAAAUUAUGUAGUUGAAAAAUUCAUUGAUAUAAUCUUGCAGUAGAUUUAUUUUGGGUGCCAAAAAAAAUUGUUUUUUCAGUGCAAGUGCAGCAUUUUUGCAAUACGUUCACAAGCCACAUUACAUAAACUAUUAGGAUCCAAUACACACACUUAAUGCAGCAAAUAAGUAUAUUUAUUUCGAGGUGUAUUAACCUACUGCCUAACUCCGAUGCUCCAAACUCUUCUUCAUGUUCUACUAGUGAUGUUAUCUUAUAAACUAUCUUUACUUGAUACUUUUAUUUACCAAACUUUUCUUUCAAUUACAAAUUACUUUUAACUGUUAUUGUAUUCAAACUAUGUAUUAUCUUUUAGAAUUAGAUUCAAAAGAAAGCCACCAACUGGAAUUGAGCAAGUUCUCAGCUUCCCGUCUGCGGACAUACCUUUCAUGCUAUUUCAGUGCCAAAGUUCACUAGCCCAUGUCGACAGGUGUGGAGGAAAUAUAUUAGGAAGAUCACUGAAUAGUGAAGGGAACAUCUCAUCAUACUGAAAAAACAAAUAUUGCAACAAUUGAAAGCAUAAAUGAAAAAUAUGCGACACUUUAGAAAAUAUUUCUAAUUAUGAAAAUAUUUAAAGGAAAGUUCACAAGAUAAAAUAGUUUUUUAAGAAGUUUUAGAUUGUGAAAGAAAUGAUAAGUUAGAAAAUUAAAAAAGACUAGAUUACCAUCUAUGCAAUAGAGCUCCAAAUCCAAUCGUUAUUCUUGCUUUUAUUUUUAAUAUAUUUAUUAUUGCUGUAACAUUUUUACGCUGUUAGUUUUCAAGAAAACCCGAAUACUCUGAAUACUUUGGGAGGGUAAUCAAUCAAGCAAUUCUUCUUUUCGAAAGUUCCCUCAAUCGGAAAAGGGUAAUAUGUUCAUAUUUGAUUCAUACAUUAGCAUAUAACUAUGGAAUAUCCACAGCAUUAAUAUUCUAUUCCCAACCUACCUGGGUCUCAAAGGAACGUGUCAAAUGUACUUAGAAACAGAGACCAAAAUAUCAACUUUGCAAACUCCAUAAAAAACAGAACCUACUAAAUCAAAUUCCAGAAGAUAGUUUGUUUGUCUGUAAAAUUAUUAAAGCUAAAUUGGAAUAUUUAAAUGAAAAAACAAGAAACUGCUGCUAUCUUUUGAGUAAAUUUCAAGUCUAUAAAUCAUGGUAAAAAGGAAUAAGAAAAACAACAUCUCCCCAGUUAAGAAACCUGCUGCAAUGUUUAUAACAAGAAAGAACUCGAAUUAAUUUAGAAAUAUGUUAUGUGUGAAAUUUAGGAAGAGGGCUUUUAGGGUUUGGAAUGUAGCAAACAAAGAGAGAAGUGCAGAGAGAGUGAGAAACAGACAAAGAGAGAACAAAAGAGAGAAGAGAACACAGAGAGAGACAGAGAACCAAUUCAUUAUUCCUCAUUACAGAUAUAGUUGAAAAUAACUUAUGCUAAGAAACAAUUAGUUAGUUAGUUAAGAACAGAUGCUACACAUAACAAAACAAAUUUAUGAAAACUAAAAACAUUAAAUAAGAAGAAUAAAUAAAUAAGAAGACAAACUGUAAAAAGAAAUUUAAAAAAAAAAAGAUUUAUGUAAACCCAGAUUAAGAGAGACUAAAUCACUUAUGCCAACUUCAUGAAAGGAGAACCAAAUAAAAAUAAACUCCAUGAAUGAUCACCUACCAAUAUUAAGAGAUAAGUAAAAAUACCUCCGGCUACCGUUGGGUCUUUGAAGAGAAAGACAUAUCUCUUCUUUCGAUCUUCUUCUUCCCUCUUUCUUUGCUCUUCUUUUCCUUCUCUAUUUGGCUCUUUACUCCCAGUAAACUGAAAAAGAAAUAGAAUGUUAGAAAGAGGACAGUUCAAUUUGUUUUCUAUCAUCUUCUUCCUUACCUCUUUCAGAUAUUCUUUUCUUUCCCUCUCCACAUUGAAGAGAAUGGAGAGUUUCAGAUCCAUGUCUGCUCGUUCCUGUCUUUUUCCCCUUUUUCUCUCUCUGCUAUGCUCGUACUUCUCACCUUCUCUCUGGGCAAGGCUUGUGAACAAGAGAGAUCGAAAUUUAACAGAAUGAAUAAGUAGUGUUGGGUCUUGAAGAGAAACCCAUCGAUCUUCUUUUCGAUCUCCCUUGAAGAGAACGGAGAGUUUCAGAUCCAUGUCUGCUCGUUUCUGUCUUUUUCCCCUUUUUCUCUCUCAAUUAUGUUUGUAUUUCUCACCUUCUCUCUGGGCAAGGCUUGUGAACAAGAUAGAUUGAAAUUUAACAGAAUGACUAGGCAGUGUUGGGUCUUUAAGAGAAACCUAUCUAUCUUCCUUUCGAUCUUCUUUUUUCCUUCUUUCUUUGUUCUUCUUUUCUUUCUCUAUUUGAUUCUUUGCUCUCAAGAAACUGAAAAAGAAAUAGAAUGCUAGAAAGAUGACCAUUCUAAUUUGUUUUCUAUCAUCUUCUUCCUUACCUCUUUCUGAUAUUCUUUUCUUUCCCUCUCCACAUUGAAGAGAAUGGAGGGGUUUCAGAUCCAUGUCUGGUCGUUUCUGUCUUUUUCCCCUUUUUCUCUCUCUUUUGUGCUUGUAUCUCUCUCCUUCUCUCUGGGCAAGGCCAGAUCUGGAAACAAAGAACGUCGAAAACUUUUUGGAAGUAAAAGAGAGGCAGAAGGUGGUCUGAAGAGGAGAAUUGGAAAACUUUUGUGGGGUUUUAAUCUAAUCGCACGGUCAGUUUGCUUUUAAAGGGAAAAUAAAGAAAUUCAGACUGCGCACGCCGACAAGCAUAACACAACGGUCAAUUUGUUUUUUAAAAAACUUUUUAAAGAAAAGAAAAAGAAAGAAAAAAGCAACUAUUGCAGAUCCAUGUCUGCUCGUUUCUGUCUUUUUCCCCUUUUUCUCUCUCUGCUAUGCUCGUACUUCUCACCUUCUCUCUGGGCAAGGCUUGUGAACAAGAGAGAUUGAAAUUUAACAGAAUGACUAAGUAGUGUUGGGUCUUUAAGAGAAACCCAUAUAUCUUCUUUUCGAUCUUCUUUUUUUUCCCCUUAUUCUCUCUCUGCUAUGCUCGUACUUCUCAACUUCUCUCUGGGCAAGGCUUGUGAGAACAAGAGAGAUUGAAAUUUAACAGAAUGACUAGGCAGUGUUGGGUCUUUAAGAGAAACCUAUCUAUCUUCUUUUCGAUCUUCUUUUUUUUUCCUUCUUUCUUUGUUCUUCUUUUCUUUCUCUAUUUGAUUCUUUGCUCUCAAGAAACUGAAAAAGAAAUAGAAUGCUAGAAAGAUUACCAUUCUAAUUUGUUUUCUACCAUCUUCUUCCUUACCUCUUUCUGAUAUUCUUUUCUUUCCCUCUCCACAUUGAAGAGAAUGGAGGGGUUUCAGACCUCGUUUCUGUCUUUUUCCCCUUUUUCUCUCUCUCUUUUGUGCUUGUAUCUCUCUCCUUCUCUCUGGGCAAGGCCAGAUCUGAAAACAAAGAACGUUGAAAACUUUUUGAAAGUAAAAGAAAGACGAAAGAAAGGAAGAAGGUGGUCUGAAGAGGAGAAUUGGAAAACUUUUGUGGGGUUUUAAUCUAAUCGCACGGUCAGUUUGCUUUUAAAGGGGAGAUAAAGAAAUUCAGACUGCGUUAAAAGGACGCCGACAAGCAUAACACAACGGUCAAUUUGUUUUUUAAAAAACUUUUUAAAGAAAAGAAAAAGAAAAAAGCAACUACUGCGUUAAAAAAGUUAAACUACACGGAGCCCAGGCUUAGGGUGUUGUUUUAAAUUUUGGUUAUAUUUUAUAAAAAAUUAAAAUAUCUUUAUAAUAGAAAACUGUAGUUAUUAAGAAAGAGAUAAUAAAUUAAAAAAAAAAAAUUAAAGUAAAAUAGCAUAAAUAAGAAUGUGAAGAAUGUGUGAUAAACACUUAGUAAUUAAUUCUAAAAAAAUGUGAGUGAAUUUUACUGGGAAAUAGAAAAAAUUAAAAAAAUUUGACAGAAAAAUGAAAAAGACUCCCUUGUAGAUGAUUUUUUUUUAUUAAUUAUUACUGAAAGAAAAUAAAAAUAAAUAAAUUUAAAGCGGAUAAAUAUAAUUUUGUAAUAAAUUUUAAUAAUUUAUGUUAGAAUAUAAAUAAUUAACUAUGAUAUUUUUUUACAAUUUUUUAAAUAAUUAAUUUAAUCAAUUAUUUAAUACAAUCAAAACAUAUAUACUUUUUUAGUUCUCUAUAUGCAUUAAAGCAACACUAUCUCAACCACACGUUUAGAGAAAAGUAAUAUAUUUCAUAUAUGAUAAAUAUGGACACCAACCACUGCAUGCUAAUUAAAAAUAGGACAAAAAAAAAGAUAAAAAUGCAGAGGAGUCCAGACCACUCAAGUAACAAAACAAUGAUAUCAAUGAAAUAAAAAAAAAUGCAAAACAAACAACCGGACUAUUUUAAAUUUUUUGUCUAAAGAGUCACAUAAUAACAAGAGCUAAUUGUUUUAACUAGCUAAGCAAAAACAAAAUAUUGGGUACAUGAUUAUUUACCUCAUCUUUGGAGUUUGAAAUCAACAAUAAGCAAAUAAAAGUGAGUAAAUCAAUUUGUAAAUAACAAAGAUUCGUUAAUAUUAUAAUUCAAAUAAGUAAAAAAUCAUUAACAAAUAAAUAGAACAUAUAGAUAAUUUUUCAUGGGAACUACGCGUACCAAAAUUGAAAUAUAAAAAAAAAUCAACUAGAACCAUGAGUAACAAGCAUUAAAAGAGAACAAUAAACAUAUCUUUUUAUAAAUAAAUAAGAUUUUUCUACAUUAUAAUUUAAAUAAGAAGAGAACCAAAUAAUUAAAAGUAACAUAUGCAUAGUUUGGCAUGAAAAAACGGAUAUUGAAACUUCAAAAUUAAAAAAAACGACUAAAAUAAAGAACAAACAUCAAAAGAUGACAAUUUUAUUAUUCUCAGUAUAAUAUUUAAAAUCGUCUUUUGAGUACUACUACGUUAAUGUACAUAUAAAAGAAAUUCACUAAGCUAAUAAUACUAAUUUUGUCGAUUUAUAAUCAUUUCAAUUCAUACGAAUGUAAAAAUGAUAUGUUCAUUCUAUAAGCUGAUAUUUAGGAUUUAUUGUCAUUUUAUCAUUCACUUUUGUUUACUCAUUUCUAAGCAAUUAGUAGUCAAAAUCCUAGAUCAUCUCAAUUCAUAAGACAAACAUUCAUUGGAUUCAAAUAUCAAAUAAAUAUACUAUAAAUUUAAAUCAGAGUUCUCUAAUAGUUAUCACUUGCAACUCUUCCAACAGUAUUUUUGACAUAUAGCUAAUGUUGUAAAUUUACCAAACAUUUCUUUUUCUUAAGCACUAAUCCCUAAGUUCACUUUUCAUAACUGAAAAAUAAUAUUCCAAUGGACAUCCUUCAAACAUUCACUAUGGAUGAUACCACAUAAUAACCAACAACCACCAUCUUUCUAACAACACACUAUGAGCAAAACAUUAAACCAUAUAAAAGAAAGUCAUCUACCUCCAAAAACCUACAAAAUGAUUCAAGUCAUCUUAAAACACCAAUUACAUCGAAUAUCUUAGAGCAAUACUAACCGACCAAUGUAUUAGAGCUAAAAUAAAACAAAGACUUUCUUGCCUAUCACUAGUACUUUAUAGAUUUUUAAAAAUUAAACUCUUAAAAUAAAAUAAUCCUCCAAUCUAAAUAUAAGUAAAGUUAACACGUGAUAAAUCUUUAAUUUAAAAUUUCUUUGUCACUUACACCGUAAUAGUUUUUUAAUGAAGUAAGAAAGCUUGGCUCUCCAUCUACAUUUUGUAUUUUUUUAUUAAAUUAGGUAGUUGAAAAAUUCAUGGAUAUAAUAUUGCAGUAGAUUUAGUUCGAGUGCCAAAAAAAUUUAUUUUUUCAUUGCAAAUGCAGCAUUGUGCAAUACUUUCGGAGGCCACAUUACAUAAACUAUUAGGGUCCAAUACACACACUUAAUGCAGCAAAUGAGUAUAUUUAUUGCGAGGUAUAUUAAACUGCUGCCUAACUCCGAUGUUACAAACUCUUUUUCAUGUUCUAUUAGUGAUGUCAUCUUAUAAACUAUUUUUACUUGAUACUUUUAUUUGUCAAAUUUUUUUUCAAUUACAAUUUAUUUUUAACUGUUAUUGUAUUCAAAAUAUGUAUUAUCUUUCAGAAUUAGAUCCAAAAGAAAGUCACUUACAUAUGCAAUAUUUUUUUUCUCCUCUAGCUUACCUUAAAACGAUAAUUUACCACUAUCUUAUAGCUAAAAUCAAACAAGAACUUACCUCCACAAACUUACUAGUAGUUAAUAACUUCAAUACAUAAAAAAUCAAUCAAUGUCUAGUUCAUAACAUUACUCAACAAUCCUAACCAUCUAAGUUUAAAUAAACCAAUAUGGAUUAUACCACAUAACAACCCCAUAUGAAAUUACAAUAAGAAUUUUUUACUUUUUAUUAUAAAGUACAGAUGUAACAUUAUUUUCUGGCAAUAAAAUUAUACAACCCUAUAUAGAAUAGGCAAAAAAAAUUUAAAUAUUUGGUUACACCUCAUUUUGUACUGAUCUUGAAUUUGAUAGAACAACUCUGCAUCAGUACUCAAAAAGUCUUGGUUACAGUUGUAGCUUGGUCCAAAACAGGUUGUCUUGGGCCUCACCUAGCCCAAGGCCAAGCCUAAUCUAGGCCCAGCUUGGUCCAAACCCAAGCUCAAUUUGGUUCUUAAAGGACUUGAUAAAACAUAGUUUUACAAUAAAUUUUAAUAAUUUAUGUUAAAAUAUAAAUAAUUAACUAUGUUACUUAUCUACAAUUUUUUUUAAUAAUCAAUUUAAUCAAUCAUUUAAUACAAUCAAAACAUAUAUACUUUUUGAGUUCUCUAUAUGUAUUAAAACAACAAUUCUCUAUAUGUAUUAAAGCAGCAAUAUUUCAUCCACACAUUUGGAGAAUAGUAAUUAUCUUUCAUAUAUGCAUCAAAUUCCUAAUGCAUAAACAUGCUUACAGAAUAUUGUAUGUAUUAGAAUGCUAGUCUCUCAAAAUGCUUACAAAUGAUUUUACUACAUACUAUAGCUCCAAUGAUGCAUGCCAAUUUGAUACUUACCUACUUUAUACUGUAAAAUGAAUCUUCAAAAGAAAUAUAUGUCAUCUAGUUAUAUGUACAAAUUGGAACAGAUCAAAGCCUAGUUGCACGAAGCCAGAAAGAGAAGUAAAUUUCCUCCCUUGAUUUGUUUGUUCAUUUCUUCCCAGUAAAAAAAAAAUGGUGAGGACUAAAAUGAAGUUAAAAUCGUGAGCAUCCCGGAUCAGCAAGUAACUGACCCAUUACCAACUCCAGAAUCAGGCUUAUCUGUACGUGAAAUCACAAAGCGAUCAACAAUUUUAACAGUGUUAACUGGGUCCUGCUGAGCAGCAGCUGCACUCCACUUGCUUGGGAAUUUUCUUAGAUGGCUCAUCUGCUGUGGCUGUUUAGGUUCAGCAUCCCAAUCAGGAUCCAACUUCCAUUCCUUGGGCACCUGCAUGUCAGACAGGAUAAAUAAUAUGUAGAUACUAAUAUCUCGAACCCCAGCACUACUAUGUCUAAAAUUAACAUAGAACCACUUUUCAUGUAUGUAAAUCAGUCUUUUGAUGCAUACUAUCGAGAAGAAUCUAGGAUUGCUGAUAAUCACUAAUGGUCCGUUCCGUUCAAUCUCCAUUUAGUUUCUAUUAUAUCCCAUUUGAUGAAGGAUGAAGAAUAUUUGAGCAUAAUAGUAAGAGAAAAUUUAUCAAGAACCAAAAUUUGAAAUCUUACAUCUCAAUAAUCAAAUUAAUAACUCAAUUUUAUAUGAUAAGUAAAUGACUUGUCUACCAAAUAACUAAACUAGAAUCAUCUACAAACAACUAAACUAGAGUUAAGCAUCAAAAUACAACCGAGGAAGGAAUUUUUAAACCUAACUAGGAAAUUUACUGAAAAAAAAAUAAGCUAAUUAAUUGGAUAGCUUAUACCAGAUAGCAACCAAAAAUCCUAAUUGAAUAUGAAAUAAUAAACUCACACCAAGAAUAAGCCUAUAAGCACAAAGUCCUAAUAAACUUACUGCUAUGAGCACCAAGAGGGUGCAACCCAUGUACAAAAGUAUUUACAAGUUAAUCAUCAUCUCUAUCAAAUCACCAAAAUCCUCCAUAAAGUCUCACAUAUGCUAGGUUCUUGUAUAACAAAAAAUUCAAGAUUUUCUCUGUUGUGCCUUUUAAUCUUCUUCGAAACAUAUCAGUAAGGCUUCCACCUUUUAAAAGUAAGCCUCUCUUCCACCCUGCCUGACGAUUUUUGAAUAUACCCAUCACUUGGUUCCACUAUGUAUCUUUGAGUUUGGCACCAAGCAGAGGCCCAAGUACUUGAUUUUCAUAUCGACAUUCUUACAACCCAUAAUAUUGGCCAAAUACCCGGCUUUUUCGCCCAACUGGACUAAUUCUAUCUUAGCCAUGUUGAUAUUUAAACUUGAGACGGCUUGGAAACACAACAAAACACGUUUAAUAUUGAAAAUAUUCCCGGGCUCAAAUCCCGGAACAAAAGAAUAUAAUCCACAAAGAAUAGAUGAGUUACCUUCACCUCUUCGGUUGCUUACCCACCUUCACUCCUGUGAAAAGAUGAAGUUCUCUCGCCUUGAGCAAUAGCUUGUUUAAUGCCUUCUAUGACAAUAAUGAAGAGCAAAAUGGGCAAAGGAUCUCCCUAUCUAGGGCCCCUAGAAGCCUUAAAGAAAACGACAAAUGGCCAUUGACCAAAACUGCAAAAGCAGAUGUGGUAAUGCAGGUCUUCAUCCAGGAUCUUCACUUCACUUUGAAACCCAACCUCUCCAUCAUGUAAACUAGAAAAUUCCAUGAAACAUAAUCACACUUUCUCCAUGUCAAGUUUACACAACAUUCCCUGGUUUCCUUCUCUCAAAAUGUUAUCAACAAUCUCUUUAACUGUAAGGGCAACAUCCAAAAUUUGUCUUCCCCUCACAAAAGCAUGCUAGCAUUUCCCACUACACUUCCAACCACCUUAGCUAAUCUUAUUACCAAGACUUAACCAAUAAUUCUGUAAACCCUGCUCACUAAACUAAUAGACUUGAAGUCUCUAAUAUUGAAAACCUGUUAGAUCUUCAGGAUGAACAACCAAAAAGCUGAGUUCAAUCUUUUUACUAACUACCCCAUAGCGUGAAAUUCCAACCACAAGAUCAUUCUUUAGAAGUUCUCAGUACUGCAGAUAAAACUUCAUGUUAGAUCCAUCCAGAACCAGAGCUUUGUCUCCCUUCCAACAUGAAAUACCUUCAUAGAUUUCCUCCUCAGAGAACACCUGUUCAAGAUAUAUGCAAUCUUACUACUCAACCUACUGAAGUUGAGGCCAUCUAAGGUCGGUUUCCAACUCAAAUUCUCAGUAUAUAACUCUAAAAAAGACUUGACAUUCUCUCUCAAUUCAUCAUUCCCUUUAACCACUCUUUUCCUACCUUUUAACUCCUCAAUGUAAUUACACUCUCUAUUAAGAUUUGCCAUACAAUGAAAGAAUGUUAUGUUUCUAUCUCCUUCCUUGAUCCAUUUGGUUCUAAACUUCUGUUUCCAAGCAACCUCCUCCGUGAGGAUUAAGUUGGCCCAUACAAGCCUGAUCCUCCGCUUCUUGACAUCCUCCUCAGAAAGACCUUAAUCCCCCCUCCAAGCCAUCAAGGCUCUAUAACUGCACAAGGAGUUCCUCCUUCCUACAAUCCUAGCCUAACUCCUCCUUGUCCCGCCUCUUAAACUUGUCCUCAAUCGAAGCAAGCUUCUUGACAACUCUAAAUAGCAAAAUCCUCCACCUUAAAUUCUUCCCGCCACCCUUUGAGUUUAUCAUUGAAACCUGGGACUAUAAGUCACUUUUUGUCAAACCUGUAUGGGCAUGGGCCCCAACUUCCGUUGUUCACCUUCAAGCUUUUGGGAAAUUGAUUAGUUUGGGCAUUGCAUAUAUUAGACAAAACAAGUACUAUCCCUAUAUUAUUAGAUCCUCCACCUCCAAUAAUACUUUCCCAUGUAAAACUUGUGCCAUCCAUACAUUACUAUAUAAGCUAUUUCCUAAAUAAGUGUCAUAGGGAUCCUAAAGAUAACUAGGUAUUUAUUGCUCUAUAAAGAGAAAUGUCAUAACAUUCUCUUCAAUGAAAUCCUUGGAGAUGAUAUGGUUUUUUUCUUUUUUUUUUUUUGAAAUAACAAGUAUAAAGUAUUCACUAAUUACAAGAGGAUGUCAACCUAUGUACAAAAGAUAUUUACAUGUCAAUCAAUCAAUUGAUAAAAUUCCUAUAUCUUCAUGGAAUAAAAAAAUUUUCCCCUAGUCAACUAACCCAAAAGUUUGACACCUAGCUCUAACCUGAUCAGCAUCAUCUUCUACCCCUUGAAAAGCCCUUCUAUUCAUCUCUUUCCGUACUACAUAAAAAAUUGUAAGAGGAAUAAAAGAUAAACGACUUUUCCUACCACUAACGCUCUUCCAAGCCCAUAACAUUUUUCUCACAUCAUCCACCAUUACCCAACGGAUGCCCAAUGCCCUAUAUGCUUAUACACUAGGGGCAUUGUAGUAAAAUAUGGUCACAAGUCUCUUCUGCCCUCUUACCAAGAUAGCAGCCGUUCAUUAGGAUCCUUCCCCUUUUCAUCAAUUUGUCGAUGGUCAAAAUAGAUUUACGACCUACCUCUCAUGCAAAAAAAGCGAUUUUGGAAGGUACAUUCACUUCUCAUAUCUACCAGAAUGGGAACUUGUUCUCCUUCUAUUCAACUUGAGAUGGUAUGGUAUUGUCAAUAGUUUUUUUAAAAAAUAAAAAUAAAAAUAGUAAGAUAUGAUUCAUUCACAAGACUAAGAGGUUGCAAACCCGUGUAUAAAAGAAUGUACAAACCGAUUAAUGUCAAUACAGUCCCCUAAAUUCCUCCAGUGCAAGAAGAGGAUAAACCCAUAAUCAAAAAAUCAAGGGUCUGAAACCAUCUAUCUUUAACCUUAUCUCAUCUUCCACCCCCCUCAAAAGCUCUCAUGUUUCUCUUUCUACACCACAUGAUAGUGAAGAAGGAAAUGGAAUUCCAUCCCUAAGGAAUUGAAACUAGAGGUAGAAAGGAUGAGAACAUGGAAACUAUCAUAUAUGUCUAUAUCAAAUAUGCUAAUAAUUAACAAAAAACAAACAAUAGGAAUAGGAUAGAAAUUAAAACAAAUGAGACCGCUUGUUAAGGUUUCAACUGCAUUACUACACAAGGAAAUAAAAAUGAUUACAUACAUCAAGUGCAAUUCUUCAUUUUCGUGCAAAAUAACUACUUAUAAGUCCCAUUGGCUAUUUACAGUCCAAGAAGUUAGUUCCAUAGAAAAAAAAUUUAAGUGACAAAAAUCUCAACAUUCUUGUAAGUCCCAUUAGAUAGGUCGAUAUUAUGUCCACACAUGGAGUCUAGCAUCCAAAUAAGAUUACCUAGCCCCUCAGUGAUGUUUACACUUAGGAUAGUGGAAAAAAAAUAACAUCUUAUUUAUGAUAUGUAUGCAUCAGUUGGAGGGUUGGCAAGGGAGACAAAAUUAGAUUUUGGCAGGAUCCGUCGCUAAAAGGAGGAGCACUUAGAGAUCAGUUUUCUCAGACUUUUACUAUCACACAACACAAGUAACAGUCAGUGAAUCAUUCAGAGAUAUAAGAAGGAAGGGAGUGGCAGGUAAAUAUGCUGAGAAAUCUCAAUGAUUGAGAGAUUAACGAGUACGAGAUGUUUCUAAAUACUUUGUCUUUCAUGUCAGCAAAAUAAUAGCAAUAACCAACCAGUAUUGAGUCUCAAUGCCAUCAGGUCUUUCUAUAAUUACCUGGCUAAGCAUAAUACUACAAAAACCAGGUUUCAUUUUCAACAAAUCUGGAAGGUCAAAGCCCCUCUCAGAGUAGCUUUCUUCACGUAGGAGGCCAAUGGGGUGUAUACUGACAAUAGACAAAUUGAUGAGAAGGUAAACGAUAAUGAUGAACAGUUGUUUUCUAUGUAAAAGAGAUGCAGAGACUUGUAAUCAUGUCUUGCUUUGGUGUCCGUUCGUAUACAAGUUAUGGACUAUGGUUUAUGGGUUGCUGGGGAUUAGUCAAAUGAUGGCUGAGUAGGUAAGGAAUGAGAUCUGGGUCUGGAGGGGUAUCAGUGGUGUUAACAAACAUGUGGAUCUCGUCCUUCUUGCUAUAUUUUAGGUAGUGUGGAAAGAGAGAAACAUGAGAACUUUUGAGGUGGUAGAUGAAGAUAUUGAUAGGGUUAUGAAUAGAUGGUUCCAGACCGUGAGUACUUUUGUUUUGGUCAUUCUUUUUAUUCAAUCAAGGAUUUUGGAGAUCUUAUUGAUAUCUUUAUUGAUAUGUGAACACUUUGUACAUGGGUUGGCACCUCCUUAGUGCUUGUGAAUCAAUUAUACACACUAUACUUUUUAUUUCAAAAAAAAAAAAACACUCGACAUUAUAUAAGGCAACUGCACAUGGUUCUAUGUUCUCACUUUUCUUAAUAUAUCCUACACCAAGAUAUAAAAGGAAACAGUAACACUGCAAUCUAAAAGGAAGUACAAGAGAAAAUUAGUACUUGAAGAAAUUACCGAAGCAUAUUUGAUCAAUUAAGACCCAUAGAUAUGCCAUUAAAUGUUGACUAGUUUCUCACCUUAUCAACUGCAAGUGUGAAAACUUCAAGGUCGCCAUCAGGCUUUAUGUGGAAUCGUGUAAAUGACUUGUAAUUGGCAAUUCGAAGAGAGGAGAAGGCUUCAUCAAAGUGGAUGUGAAGCCAGUUAAUGCAGAUAUACAGGUAGCUGCCAAACACCAAGGAAACCACAGGGGUUGAAAAAACCCAAAAAUAGAGGAAGACAGUAGCAUAAUAAAUGACAGCACCCCCUCGAGAGAGUGACUGUAUCCCAUUCUUGCAAAUAUUGCUCCGUGUUACUGCCAUUACCUAUAAGAUUUCUCCCAAUAAUUUAGAAUAUUAUUUGGAACAUUUAUCACCAGAAGAUGAGAGAUAUCUUACCUCUGGAACAUCAAAAGCAGACAUAAGAUACUUGAUACAUGCUGGAUAAAGACCAAACGUCCAUUGUUCUAUACGAGCUCGAAGGCCAGUAGGAUCUGGAAAAUGCUCACUUUCCACUGACCGAUACCACUGAUACAAAGAGUGGUAACCUGAAGAAAGAAAAAUACUAACACAUUACCUCAAAAUGAAUAGCGUUAUUGUUUAAAUGAUAAAAACUAUCAUCUUAAUAUUCCUCAUAUUCAUAUUUUGAUAUAUAUAUAUAUAUAUAUAUCAAAUGUCAAUCUUUGCCCUAACUUCAAGAGUUUCCUGGUCUACUUAUCUUUUGUGAAAGAAGGCAUUUAGGCCACACAAACCAGAAGAUAUUGAAGUAACACAGAAGUAAGGAUCCGGGUGAAUCCUAUUAAAAUAACAUCUUUCUAUAAGAUUUUAUUAAAUAACAACAUACAGCUAAUAAACUAACCAGAUGUUGCUAGCAGUUUAUGCUGAAUGCAUGUCUCUACACCCAGUUCCAAAAGCAGCAUAAGAAUCAGAGCUGCUGCCAGGUGAGCAGAAACAUGAAGGAUUCCAAUUAUUACUCGUUUCUUCCGAGAAACUUUUGAAGGGACGAAAAUAAUUGCAGUUAUCAGUAAUACCACAGCACCAGCCAAGGACACAUAAGAGUGCUCCAACACGUGCAUAAAAGCAUUCCACACUGUGCCAAAGAAACUCCUCAAGUGACCAGAAAAUGAAUCAUCUUGCAAGAUGUGAUCAAGCUUACACUGAAGAUUACAAGGAAAAAUGAGUAAUAUUCCAGCUCCACAGCAAUAUUUACAUGUUAAAACUAUUUUUUUGCAUAAUCCUAAUGGAGAAAGAGGACUCCACCAAAGGUAAGUUUUAGCACCCUGCAAACUAGUACAUAUACAAAGAAGAACUAAGACAUCCUAAUUUUUAUGGAAGGAGGAUCCAAGGACAUAUAAAGUUAAACUAACAGGCAUGGCUUUCUAGAACUGAAAAAAAUUGAGCAGAAAUUCACUGUGGAAACAUCGAAAAAACCAACACAAAGUAUAUAAUGCCGCCAAUGAAAUCAAAUUGCCAGUUCUUCUUUCGAAAUUUUAGAAUAUUACCCAGUGCAAUCUGCAUGUAGUAGAAAAUAUGAUACAUAUAUGAAGCUGAUAAAACAAUUAAAUAUGUAUAGACACAAAAUUAAAUUCAGGGAUUACCCUGCUUGAAUCAUCAAAAGAAGGAUAGGCUGCCUUGCUCUCGUAUGCCGCUCCGUAAAAUUUGGAAAAAUUACUGAAGACAUGGGUUGGGUGUAAAAAAGCUCCACCACAACCAUUCACAAGUAAAUGUUGUACGUACACAGGCUUAUCUGACUGAACACAUGAAUGACGCAUAUAAUGAUGUAAGUCCCCUGCCAAUCGAAGUUUACACCUUCCUUUUAAGUAAUCACAUAUUAGGUGCUCGAUAUUCUUUCCAGAAACAUCAUUCCAGUACCAAUCAAGAAUCCAAUUUGGUUCAUGUGUCAUAAUGAUCACAGAAUCAUCCUCACCAACCUGUAUAAACAGUGCAACAAAGAUUUUCCAAAAUUGGCAAAAGUUUUGGAAGAUAAAUUAGAUAACAUAUCACAAAUUUAAAGCAACCAAUGGCACCGAAACACAGUACCAGAUAUUAUAUAUAUAUAUAUAUAUAUAUAUAUAUAUAUAUAAUAGAUGGUCAACUAACAAUCCUCCUCUAGAUGAAGAAGUAAAUAAUAUAAGGAAGGUUUUGUUUCUCUUCCAAACAGAUCACAGUUCAAACAAUAAUUAACAUGGUUACAACAAUUCUAAGUUGUUUUAUCAGAGAUAAACAGACUCGAUCUUUUCAAUCAGCUUGCUUUUCGAAUAAUUGAUCAAAGAAUUAAUCAUUUCAUAUGACAUCAAAGCAUGAGGACUAAUGUAGGAAUCCUAGUUGCUUCAUUUCUAUUCAAUUUAAUUUUGUAUGAAGUACAAAGGACUCACAUUUCCCAGAAUCGCUUGACCCCUUGCAAUUAUCCCAAAAUUUUGAAUUUGGUCACAAUAACACUUGGACUCAUUUUGAUUCUUAAUCUGGAUAUACAAUAUUAGGAACCAGAUUUGAGAAGAAUUGUGGCAGCUUAAGAAAAUUGGGUAGGAUAAGAUUCCAAAGGUCGUGGGAGAAAAAAAGUAGGAAAGGAGAAUGAAGACUUUAUGUCCUAAGGAACUUCUCAAGAAAGAUUAGAUGUCAAAGUAAACAGCAAGAAUCCAUCAAUCAAUAUUUUUUUUCUGUGGGAAUCAAAUUAUAUUGAUUAUCUUCUCUAGACACUUCUAAUAUGUUAACUAAGUUCUUUUCAAGUUUGUAACAUGAGCAUCCAUAUCCUCAUUAUAGCAACGAAAAAGAUUCAAAUCCAAGGUCCUUUUCGCACACUAACCAAUCAGUGUGUUAGAGUUGAAAUCAAACAAAGACUUUCUGGCCUAUCACUAGUACUCUAUACCUAUGCACUUUAGUACAUAAAAGUAAAUCAACAUCAAUUCCUAGUCUUAUCUGAAAAAAGCAGUCCUAACUAUCUAGUUUUGAACACAUCACUAGCUUCUCACUAAAUACUUGAUACCUAUCAGCUUUAAUACAUAAAAGUUAAUCAACAUUCAAUUCCUAAUCUUAGUUGAAAAUAACAAUUCUAACUAUCUAAUUUUAAAUAUAUCUCUAAGGAUGAUAUCAUAUAUUUGCCAACCACAACUCAUUUUGUCUACUAGCCAUGAUCCAAAUGGAAAACCAGCAGACCAUACAAAGAAAAGUAAAAUAUUUUGAGAAAAUUAUUAGCUUAUUCAAAUUACCCUAAAAACACCAAUUACGUUGUAUUUCUUAAAAAUAAUAUUGAUCUACCACUAUUUAUGAGAUAAAUCCAAAGUUAUAACGAGUGCAUAUUAUUUUACAAAUGGUAAACAAGUAACUUUCAAGCAACUGAAGAAAUCAUUCAAUCCCAUUUUAAGAUUGAAGAUUAAGUUUAAGAAUGAUUAAAGAAAGAGAGAGAGAGAGAGAGAGAGAGAGAGAGAGAGAGAGAGAGAGAGAGAGAGAGAAAUACAAGAGAUACUGAGUGUUUUAGGAAGCCACCAACCAGAAUUGAGCAAGUUCUCAGCUUCCCGUUUGUGGACAGGUGUGGAGGAAAUAUAUUAGGAUGAUCACUGAAUAGUGAAGGGAACAUUUCAUCAUACUGAAGAUGCAAAUGUUGCAACAAUUGAAAGAAUAAAUGAGAAGUAUGCAACACAAAUAAUAAAAUAAUGAGGUAAAAUUUCAUACGCACUCUCUUCCUCUGCCGCUCUGGCUCUCUUAUUCGCACACACUCUCCCUCUUUUGUUGCUCACAGACCGUAAAACAUACAGCAGACUAUACUGAGAACUUGCCAGCGUAAGUAAGAGAGCCAGUGUUCUCAUGUUUGCUACAACCAAUCAACAUGCAAAAUAAUUAAAAUGAAAAUUUAAUUUUCACCACUUACAGGGAAUUUUGAAGAAUGGUCAGGACCUCCGUCCUCUCGCCAACGAGCAAGAAAAAUGACAAACAUAUCAAAACCCAAAAAAUAUAAUGUGAAAGACAAGAAGAAAGAAAUACCACAUAAAACACAGUAGCUCUUCGUACCAAUUGAAGAAGAUGAGUGCCCACCAUCACUAGUAUCUACCAUCAAAUCGAACCACAGAUCUUCUUUUCCACUAAAGUGAUCAUGGAGUAGAUCUCCUCGUAACUCCAAAUGAAAUAUUUUUAAAACUUACUGUGAUAGAUGAUGCAGAAAUAAAUAACGUUGUAACUCUCUCCAACUCUAUCAGAAAAUUUUAAAAAAUAAAUUAGGACUAAAAAAAGCAAAACUAAACUGAAAAAUACGAUAAAAGAAGGAAGACAAACCUCUUAUUUCAUGGAUGCCUCAUAAUUCACGUUUAAAAGAGUAUUACCAACAAAAAAGAAUAAAACACAAGCGACACGCCUGGACCAUCUUAAACUUUUUGCCUAAAGAGUUACACACUAACAAGUUUAAAAAAUUUUAUCUACCAAAAAGAUAAAAAAAAUAUGUUUAUUUAUCUUAAAAGUGCUCACUAAUAUUUAUAAUAACCUUCGGUAAUCCUACAUUAAAGUAAACAAAAAUAAUAUUGCUAAGUAAAUAUUUUUUUUUUGAGAUAAAUAUUGCAAGUAAAUAAUCCUAAAUAGAGAAGAAAAUAUGUAAUAGAAAAUAAAUUUUAUGUCAUAAGCAUAGGAAAAUAAACUUUUUAUUUUACGAAUAUCUUAUAACCCAACAUGUUUCAAGCAGUGUUACCCACAAAAGAGAACAAAACAGAGAUAAUAUAUGAUUGAGCUCUCUUUUAACUUUUUGCCUAAAGAUUUUCAUAAUAACAAAGAAAAAGAAUUUUAACUAGUUAUCAAAAAAACAUAAUAUUAAAUAUGCAUUUAUUUACCUGAUUUUCGACAUUUGAAAUCUACAACAACUACACAAAAAUGAGCAUAUCAAUUUAUAAAUGAUCAAGACUCUUUUACCUUGUAAUUAAAAUAAGAAGAAAAUCAAUAGCAACUAAAUGCAAUAUAUGCACAGCUUGGCAUGGACGUAUAUCAAAACUUUAAAUUAAAAAAAAAAAGACGACUGAAAUCAAGAAGAACAGAAAUUAAAAGAGGACAAUUUUGUUGUUAUCAACAUAACAUUAAAAACAGCCUCAAGUAUUGCUAUAUUAAUGUACACAUAAAGAAAUUCACUGAGAAACUAAUGCUAAGUUGUUUUAAUUUUUAAUCAUUUCAACUCCUGCAAAUGUUAAAAACGAGAUACUCAUUUUCAGGGCUGAUAGUUGGAUUUACUCUUUUUCCUUGUAGGUUUGUAAGGAUAAUUGUAAUUUAUUUGUUUCAAUUUGUCAUUAUUGUGUUUGAGAUGUUUGUUUGCAGGAAAAGUUGAAGAGCCAAAUGUAACUUUUCUUUUGGUUCACUUGACUUUGUGAUUGUUUGAGUUUGUUUGUAAGGGUAGUUUGUAAUUUGUAUUUUGUAAUUUGUCAUUAUUGUGUUUGAGAUGUUUGUUUGCUAGGAAAGUUGAAAAGCUAAAUGUAAUUUUUGUUUUGGUUUACUUGAGUUUUUUUGUAAGGGUAGAAGUAAUUUAUUUGUUGUAGUUUCUCGUUAUUGUGUUUGAGAUGUUUGUUAUCUGGGAAAGUUGAAGUACUAAAUGUAAUUAUUGUUUUGGUUUACUUGAGUUUGUGAUUGUAUUUGAGUUUGUUUGUAAUUGUAUUAGAAUUUCAGUGCCUACUUGUUGUUGAAAUUUGUUGUUUUAGUUUUUUGUAAUUUCACUCGAGUUAAUUGUUUGUUUCAUUUAUUUGGUAUUGAAAAAAAAAAUCAAUUGAAUUUUUCUUUCAGUGUACUUGGAUUUGUAACUGUAUUUGAGUUUGUUUGUAUUUUUGUUCCAAUUUUGAUUUCUAAUUAUAAUUUGUUUGUUUUGCAUUGUUCGUAUCGAUCUAUCGUCACGUAGAUUUUUAGUAUUCAAAUCCAUCCUUCAACUAGGUUAUGGUAGCAUAAUUUAAAAAUUUUUAUUUGAUUAAUUAGUAAAAAAUAAAAAUAAUUGACUAAUCAGAUAAUAAAAUAAUGAGGUAAAAUUUCAUACGAACUCGCUUCCUCUGUCGCUCUGGUUCUCUUCUUCGUACACACUCUCUCUCUUUUGUCGCUCACAGACCGUAAAGCACGCCACAGGCUAUACCGAGAACCUGCCAGCGUAAGUAAGACAGCCACAAUUCGCAGGUUUGCUAAAACAAGUAAUUAUACAAAAUCAUUAAAAUAAAAAUUGAAUUUUCAUCACUUACAGCACAAUUUUAAAGAAUGGUCAGGAUCUCCUUCCUUUUGCCAGCGACGCGAGAAAAAAGAAAAACAUACCAAAACCCAGGAAAUAUAAUGUGAUAGACAAGAAGAAAGAGAUACCUCAUAAAACACAGCAGCUCAUAGUACCAAACGACUGUAUAAUAGACCAGUUAAAAUAUCCUGAUUACCAAUUCAGUAAAUGCAACCUUAUUAGAAACAUUAGAAAAAUUAAAAAAAAAUCGCUGACCAAGUACUCCUGCAACCGAAGAAGACGAGUUUCCGCCAUCACCAGUAUCUGCCUUCAAAUCGAACCACAGAUCUUCUUUUCCACUAAAGUGAUCAUAGAGCAGAUCUCUUUGUAGCUCCAAAUGAAACCUUUUUAAAACUUAAUGUGAUAGAUGAUGCAGAAAUAGAUAGCGUUGUAACUCUCUCCAACUCCAUCAAAAAAUUUUAAAAAAUAAAUUAGGCUUAAAAAAAGUAAAAUUAAACUGAAAAAUAUGAUAAAAGAAGGAAAACAAACCUCUUAUUCUAUGGAUACCUCAUAAUCCACGUCUAAAAGAGUGCUACCAACAAAAAAGAAUAAAACACAAGUGACACGUCUGGACCAUCUUAAACUUUUUGCCUAAAGAGUUACAUACUAACAAAAUAUAAAAAUUUUAACUACCCAAAAAAAUAAAAACACAUGCUUAUUUACCUUAAAAGUGUUCCCUAAGAUUGAUAAUAACCUUCGGUAGUCCUACAUUAAAGUAAACAUAAAGAAUAUUGCUAAAUAAAUGAUUCUAAAUAGAAAAUAAAACUUAUAUUACAAGCAAAGCAAAAUAAACAUUUUGUUCCAUGAAUAUCUUAUAACCCAAAAUAUUUCCAGUAGUAUUACCCACAAAAGAGAACAAAAAAGAGAUAAUAUAUGACUGAACUCUCUUUAAUUUUUUACCUAAAGAUCUUCAUAGUAUCAAAGAAAGAAAAUUUUAACUAAUUAUAGAAAAAACAUAAUAUUGAAUAUGUGUUUAUUUACCUAAUUUUUGACAUUUGAAAUCUACAACAAUUACACAAAAGUGAGCAUAUAAAUUUAUAAAUGAUCAAGACUCUUUUACGUUGUAACUAAAAUAAGAAGAAAACCAAUAGCAAUUAAAUGUAACAAAUGCAGGCAUGGACGGAUAUCAAAACUUCAAAUUAAAAAACACCGACUAAAAUCAAGAAGAAAAGACAUUAAAAGAGGACACUUCUGUUGUCUUCAGCAUAACAUUAAAAACAGCCUCAUGUAUUGCUAUGUCAAUGUACACAUAAAGAAAUUCACUAACGAAAUAAUGCUAAAUUGUUUCUAUUUAUAAUCAUUUCAACUCAUGCAAAUAUAAAAAAUGAUAUAUUUGUUUUCAGAACUGAUACUUGGGUUUUGCUCUUUUUCCUCAUAAGUUUGUAAGGAUAGUUGUAAUUUGUUUAUUGUAGUUUGUCGUUAUUCUUUUUGAGAUGUUUUUUUCUGGGCAAGUUGAAAAGUUAAAUGUAAUUUUUGUUUUGGUUUACUUGACUUUGUAAUUGUAUUUGAGUUUGUUUGUAAGGGUAGAUGUAAUUUGUUUGUUGGAGUUUAUCGUUAUUGUGUUUGAGAAGUUUGUUAUCUGGGAAAGUUGAAGAGCUAAAUGUAAUUUUUGUUUUGGUCUACUUGAGUUUGUGAUUGUAUUUGAGUUUGUUUAUAAUUGUACUAGAAUUUCAGUGCCUACUUGUUGUUGAAAUUUGUUGUUUUAGUUUCUUGUAAUUUCACUCGAGUUAGUUGUUUGUUUCAUGUAUUUGGAAUUGAAAAAAAAUCAAUUGAAUUUUUCUUUCGGUGUACUUGGAUUUGUAACUGUAUUUGAGUUUGUUUGUAUUUUUUUUUCCAAUUUUAGUUUCUAAUUAUAAUUUGUUUGCUUUGCGUUGUUCAUAUCGAUCUAUCGUCAUGUAGCUUUUUAGUGUUCAAAUCCAUGUAGCUUUGUAGCUUUUUAGUGUUAAACUAAGUUAUGGUAGCAUAAUUUAAAAAUUUUUAUUUGAUUAAUUAGUAAAAAAUAAAAAUAAUUGACUAAUCAGAUAAUAAAACAAUGAGGUAAAAUUUCAUAUGAACUCGCUUCCUCUGUCGCUCUGGUUCUCUUCUUCGUACACACUCUCCCUCUUUUGUCGCUCACAGAUCGUAAAGCACGCCGCAGGCUAUACCGAGAACCUGCCAGCGUAAGUAAGAUAGCCACUAUUCGCAAGUUUGCUAUAACAAGUAAUUAUACAAAAUCAUUAAAAUAAAAAUUGAAUUUUCAUCACUUACGGCACAAUUUUGAAGAAGAAAGAGAUACCUUAUAAAACACAGCAGCUCAUAGUACCAAACGACUGUAUAAUAGACCAGCUUAAAUAUCCUGAUUACCAAUUCAGUAAAUGCAACCUUAUUAGAAACAUUAGAAAAAAAAAAUCGCUGACCAAGUACUCCUGCAAACGAAGAAGACGAGUUUCCGCUAUCACCAGUAUCUGCCUUCAAAUCGAACCACAGAUCUUCUUUUUCACUAAAGUGAUCAUAGAGCAGAUCUCUUUGUAGCUCCAAAUGAAACCUUUUUAAAACUUAAUGUGAUAGAUGAUGCAGAAAUAGAUAGCGUUGUAACUCUCCCCAACUCCAUCAAUUGAAUUUUAAAAAAUAAAUUAGGCUUAAAUAAAGUAAAACUAUACUGAAAAAUAUAAUAAAAUAAGGAAGGCAAACCUCUUAUUCCACGGAUACCUCAUAAUCCACGUCUAAAAGAGUGCUACCAACAAAAAAAAAUAAAACACAAGUGACACGUCUGGACCAUCUUAAACUUUUUGCCUAAAGAGUUACAUACUAACAAAAUAUAAAAAUUUUAACUACCCAAAAAAAUAAAAACACAUGCUUAUUUACCUUAAAAGUGCUCCCUAAGAUUGAUAAUAACCUUCGGUAGUCCUACAUUAAAGUAAACAUAAAGAAUAUUGCUAAAUAAAUGAUUCUAAAUAGAAAAUAAAACUUAUAUCACAAGCAAAGCAAAAUAAACAUUUUGUUCCACGAAUAUCUUAUAACCCAAUAUGUUUCCAGUAGUAUUAUCCACAAAAGAGAACAAAAAAGAGAUAAUAUAUGAUUAGACUCUCUUUAACUUUUUGCCUAAAGAUCUUCAUAGUAACAAAGAAAAAAAAUUUUAACUAGUUAUAGAAAAAACAUAAUAUUGAAUACGUGUUUAUUUACCUGAUUUUUGGCGUUUGAAAUCUACAACAAUUACACAAAAGUGAGCAUAUCAAUUUAUAAAUGAUCAAGACCCUUUUAAAAUCAGAAGAAAACCAAUAUCAAUUAAAUGUAACAAAUGAAGGCAUGGACGGAUAUCAAAACUUUAAAUUAAAAACUAAAAUUAAGAAGAACAGACAUUAAAAGAGGACAAUUUUGUUGUCUUCUGCAUAACAUUAAGAACAGUCUCAAGUAUUGUUAUGUUAAUGAACAAAUAAAGAAAUUCACUGAUAAAAUAAUGCUAAAUUUUUUCAAUUUAUAAUAAUUUCAACUCAUGCAAAUAUUAAAACGAGAUAUUCAUUUUCAGGGCUGAUACUUGGGUUUUACUCUUUUUUCUUGUCAGUUUGUAAGGGUAGUUUGUAAUUUGUUUGCGGUAAUUUGUCGUUAUUGUGUUUGAGAUGUUUGUUUGCAGGAAAAGUUGAAGAGCCAAAUGUAAUUUUUAUUUUGGUUUACUUGACUUUGUAAUUGUAUUUGAGUUUGUUUGUAAAGGUAGAUGUAAUUUGUUUGUUGUAGUUUCUCGUUAUUGUGUUUGAGAUGUUUGUUAUCUGAAAAAGUUGAAGAGCUAAAUGUAAUUUUUGUUUUGGUGUACUUGAGUUUGUGAUUGUAUUUGAGUUUGUUUGUAAUUGUAUUAAAAUUUCAGUGCCUACUUGUUGAAAUUUGUUGUUUUAGUUUGUUGUAAUUUCACUCGAGUUAGUUGUUUGUUUCAUUUGUUUGGAAUUGAAAAAAAAUCAAUUGGAUUUUUCUUUCAGUGUACUUGGAUUUGUAACUGUAUUUGAGUUUGUUUGUAUUUUUUUUCCAAUUUCGGUUUCUAAUUAUAAUUUGUUUGCUUUGCAUUGUUCAUAUCGAUCUAUCGUCAUGUAGGUUUUUAGUGUUCAAAUUCAUCCUUUAACUAAGUUAUGGUAGUAUAAUUUAAAAAUUAUUGUUUGAUUAGUUAGUAAAAAAAUAAAAAUAAUUGACUAAUCAAAUAAUAAAAUAAUGAGGUAAAAUUUUUAUUUUGGUUUACUUGACUUUGUAAUUGUAUUUGAGUUUGUUUGUAAAGGUAGAUGUAAUUUGUUUGUUGUAGUUUCUCGUUAUUGUGUUUGAGAUGUUUGUUAUCUGAAAAAGUUGAAGAGCUAAAUGUAAUUUUUGUUUUGGUGUACUUGAGUUUGUGAUUGUAUUUGAGUUUGUUUGUAAUUGUAUUAAAAUUUCAGUGCCUACUUGUUGAAAUUUGUUGUUUUAGUUUGUUGUAAUUUCACUCGAGUUAGUUGUUUGUUCCAUUUGUUUGGAAUUGAAAAAAAAUCAAUUGGAUUUUUCUUUCAGUGUACUUGGAUUUGUAACUGUAUUUGAGUUUGUUUGUAUUUUUUUUCCAAUUUCGGUUUCUAAUUAUAAUUUGUUUGCUUUGCAUUGUUCAUAUCGAUCUAUCGUCAUGUAGGUUUUUAGUGUUCAAAUUCAUCCUUUAACUAAGUUAUGGUAGUAUAAUUUAAAAAUUAUUGUUUGAUUAGUUAGUAAAAAAAUAAAAAUAAUUGACUAAUCAAAUAAUAAAAUAAUGAGGUAAAAUUUCAUACGAACUCGCUUCCUCUGUCGCUCUGGUUCUUUUCUUCGUACACACUCUCCCUCUUUUGUCGCUCACAAACCGUAAAGCACGCCGCAGGCUAUACCAAGAACCUGCCAGCGUAAAUAAGACAGCCACUAUUCGCAGGUUUGCUAUAACAAGUAAUUAUACAAAAUCAUUAAAAUAAAAUUUGAAUUUUUAUCACUUACAGCACAAUUUUGAAGAAUGGUCAGGAUCUCCUUCCUUUUGCCAGCGACGCGAGAAAAAAGACAAAUAUACCAAAACCCAGAAAAUAUAAUGUGAUAGACAAGAAAAAAGAGAUACCUCAUAAAACACAGCAAUUCAUAGUACCAAACGACUGUAUAAUAGACCAGCUCAAAUAUCCUGAUUACCAAUUCAGUAAAUGCAACCUUAUUAGAAAUAUUAGAAAAAUAAAAAAAAUCGCUGACCAAGUACUCCUGCAAACGAAGAAGAGGAGUUUCCGCCAUCACCAGUAUCUGCCUUCAAAUUGAACCACAGAUCUUCUUUUUCACUAGAGUGAUCAUGGAGUAGAUCUCUUUGUAGUUCUAAAUGAAACCUUUUAAAACUUAAUGUAAUAGAUGAAGAAGAAAUAGAUAGCGUUGUAACUCUCCCCAACUCCAUCAAAAAAAUUUAAAAAAUAAAUUAGGCUUAAAAAAAGUAAAACUAAACUGAAAAAUAUGAUAAAAGAAAGAAGACAAACCUUUUAUUCCACGAAUAUCUCAUAAUCCACGUCUAAAAGAGUGCUACCAACAAAAAAGAAUAAAACACAAGUGACACAUCUGGACCAUCUUAUACUUUUUGCCUAAAGAGUUACAUACUAACAAAAUAUAAAAAUUUUAACUACCCAAAAAAGUAAAACACAUGCUUAUUUACCUUAAAAGUGCUCCCUAAGAUUGAUAAUAACCUUUUGUAGUCCUACAUUAAAGUAAACAUAAAUAAUAUUGCUAAAUAAAUGAUUUUAAAUAGAAAAUAAAACUUAUAUCAUAAGCAAAGCAAAAUAAACCUUUUGUUCUACGAAUAUCUUAUAAACCAAAAUAUUUCCAGUAGUAUUACCCACAAAAGAGAACAAAAAAGAGAUAAUAUACGAUUGAACUCUCUUUAACUUUUUACUUAAAGAUCUUCAUAGUAACAAAGAAAGAAAAUUUUAACUAAUUAUAAAAAAAAAUAUAAUAUUAAAUACGUGUUCAUUUACAUGAUUUUUGGCGUUUGAAAUCUACAACAAUUACACAAAAAUGAGCAUAUCAAUUUAUAAAUGAUCAAGACUCUUUUACGUUGUAACUAAAAUAAGAAGAAAUCCAAUAGCAAUUAAAUAUAACAAAUGCAGGCAUGGACGGAUAUCAAAACUUCAAAUUUUAAAAAAAUGACUAAAAUCAAGAAGAAAAAACAUUAAAAGAGGACACUUUUGUUGUCUUCUGCAUAACAUUAAAAACAGCCUCAUGUAUUGCUAUGUCAAUGUACACAUCAAGAAAUUCACUAACGAAAUAAUGCUAAAUUAUUUCUAUUUAUAGUCAUUUCAGCUUAUGCAAAUCUAAAAAAUGAGAUAUUUGUUUUCAGGACUGAUACUUGGGUUUUGCUCUCUUUUAACUUUUUGCCUAAAGAUUUUCAUAAUAACAAAGAAAAAGAAUUUUAAGUAGUUAUAGAAAAAAUAUAAUAUUAAAUACGUGUUUAUUUACCUGAUUUUUACCCUUUGAAAUCUACAACAACUAUACAAAACUGAGCAUAUCAAUUUAUAAAUGAUCAAGACCUUUUUACGUUGUAAUUAAAAUAAGAAGAAAACCAAUAGCAAUUAAAUGUAACAUAUGCACAACUUGGCAUGGACGUAUAUCAAAACUUCAAAUUAAAAAAAAAGACGACUAAAAUAAAGAAGAACAGACAUUAAAAGAGGACAAUUUUGUUGUCAUCUACAUAACAUUAAAAACAGCCUCAAGUAUUGCUAUGUUAAUGCACACAUAAAGAAAUUUACUGAGCAACUAAUGCUAAACUAUUUCAAUUUAUAAUCAUUUCAACUCAUGCAAAUAUUAAAAAUGAGAUACUCAUUUUCAGGGUUGAUAGUUGGGUUUUACUCUUUUUCCUGGUCAGUUUGUCGUUAUUAUGUUUGAUAUGUUUGUUUGCAGGAAAAGUUAAAAAGCCAAAUGUAAUUUUUGUUUUGGUUCACUUGACUUUGUAAUUGUAUUUGAGUUUAUUUGUAUGGGUAGAUGUAAUUUCUUUGCUAUAGUUUCUCUUUAUUGUAUUUGAGAUGUUUGUUUGCUGGGAAAGUUGAAGAGUUAAAUGUAAUUUUUGUUUUGAUUUACUUGAGUUUGUUUGUAAGGGUAGUUGUAAUAUGUUACCAGUACUUUGUCGUUAUUGUGUUUGAGAUGUUUCUUUAAUGGGAAAGUUAAAGAGCUAAAUGUAAUUUUUUGUUUUGGUUUACUUGAGUUUGUGAUUGUAUUUGAGUAAGUUUGUAAUUGUAUUAGAAUUUUAGCGCCUACUUGUUUUAGUUUGUUGUAAUUUCACUCGAGUUAGUUGUUUGUUUCAUUUGUUUGGAAUUGCAAAAAAUCAAUUGGAUUUUUCUUUCAGUGUACUUGAAUUUGUAACUGUAUUUGAAUUUGUUUGUAUUUUUUUCCAAUUUCGGUUUCUAACUACAAUUUGUUUGCUUUGCAUUAUUCAUAUCGAUGUAUCGUUAUACAGGUUUUUAGUGUUCAAAUUCAUCCUACAACUAAGUUAUGGUAGUAUAAUUUAAAAAUUAUUGUUUGAUUAGUUAGUAAAAAAAUAAAAAUAAUUGACUAAUCAAAUAAUAAAAUAAUGAGGUAAAAUUUCAUACGAAUUCGCUUCCUCUGUCGCUCUGGUUCUUUUCUUCGUACACACUCUCCCUCUUUUGUCGCUCACAAACCGUAAAGCACGCCGCAGGCUAUACCAAGAACCUGCCAGCGUAAAUAAGACAGCCACUAUUCGCAGGUUUGCUAUAACAAGUAAUUAUACAAAAUCAUUAAAAUAAAAUUUGAAUUUUUAUCACUUACAGCACAAUUUUGAAGAAUGGUCAGGAUCUCCUUCCUUUUGCCAGCGACGCGAGAAAAAAGACAAAUAUACCAAAACCCAGAAAAUAUAAUGUGAUAGACAAGAAAAAAGAGAUACCUCAUAAAACACAGCAAUUCAUAGUACCAAACUACUGUAUAAUAGACCAGCUCCAAUACUCUGAUUACCAAUUCAGUAAAUGCAAUUUUAUUUGAAACAUUAAAGAAACAAAAAAAAAAACUGCUGACCAAGUACUCCUGCAACCGAAGAAGACGAGUUCCCGUCAUCACCAGUAUCUGUCAUCAAAUCGAACCACAGAUCUUCUUUUUCACUAGAGUGAUCAUGGAGUAGAUCUCUUUGUAGUUCUAAAUGAAACCUUUUAAAACUUAAUGUAAUAGAUGAAGAAGAAAUAGAUAGCGUUGUAACUCUCCCCAACUCCAUCAAAAAAAUUUAAAAAAUAAAUUAGGCUUAAAAAAAGUAAAACUAAACUGAAAAAUAUGAUAAAAGAAAGAAGACAAACCUUUUAUUCCACGAAUAUCUCAUAAUCCACGUCUAAAAGAGUGCUACCAACAAAAAAGAAUAAAACACAAGUGACACAUCUGGACCAUCUUAUACUUUUUGCCUAAAGAGUUACAUACUAACAAAAUAUAAAAAUUUUAACUACCCAAAAAAGUAAAACACAUGCUUAUUUACCUCAAAAGUGCUCCUUAAGAUUGAUAAUAACCUUCGGUAAUCCUGCAUUAAAGUAAACAUAAAAAAUAUUGCUGAGUAAAUAAUUUUAAAUAGAAUAUAUAUAUAUAUAAUAGAAAAUAAAAUUUAUAUCGUACGCAAAGAAAACUAAACCUUUGUUCCACGAAUAUCUUAUAACCCAACAUGUUUCCAGUAGUGUUACCCACAAAAGAGAAUAAAAAAGAGAAAAUAUAUGAUUGGACUCUCUUUAACUUUUUGCCUAAAGAUCUUCAUAGUAACAAAGAAAGAAAAUUUUAACUAGUUAUAAAAAAAACAUAAUAUUGAAUACGUAUUUAUUUACCUGAUUUUUGGCGUUUGAAAUCUAUAAUAAUUAUACAAAAGUGAGCAUAUCAUUUUAUAAAUGAUCAAUACUCUUGUACGUUGUAAUUAAAAUCAGAAGAAAAUCAAUAGCAAUUAAAUGUAACAAAUGCAAGCAUGGACGGAUAUCAAAACUUGAAAUUAGAAAAAAAAGACUAAAAUCAAGAAGAACAUACAUUAAAAAAGGAUAAUUUUGUUGUCUUCUGCAUAACAUUAAAAACAGCCUCAAGUAUUGCUAUGUUAAUGUGCACAUAAAGAAAUUCACCGACGAAAUAAUGCUAAAUUGAUUCAAUUUAUAAUCAUUUCAACUCAUGUAAAUAUUAAAACGAGAUAUUCGUUUUUAGGGUUGAUAUUUGGAUUUUACUCUUUUUCUUUGUCAGUUUAUAAGGGUAGUUGUAAUUUGUUUGGGGUAAUUUGUCGUUAUUGUGUUUGAGAUGUUUGUUUGCAGGAAAAGUUGAAGGGCCAAAUGUAAUUUUUGUUUUAGUUUACUUGACUUUGUAAUUGUAUUUGAGUUUGUUUGUAAAGGUAAGAUGUAAUUUGUUUGUUAUAGUUUCUCAUUAUUGUGUUUUAGAUGUUUGUUAUCUGGGAAAGUUGAAGAGCUAAAUAUAAUUUUUAUUUUGGUUUAUUUGAAUUUGUGAUUGUAUUUGAAUUUAUUUGUAAUUGUAUUAGAAUUUCAGCAUCUACUUCUUGUUUUAGUUUUUUAUAAUUUCACUCGAGUUAGUUGUUUGUUUCAUUUAUUUGGAAUUGCAAAAAAAUCAAUUGAAUUUUUCUUUCAGUGUAUUUUGAUUUGUAACUGUAUUUGAGUUUUUUUGUAUUUUUGUUCCAAUUUUGGUUUCUAAUUACAAUUUGUUUGUUUUGCAUUGUUCAUAUCAAUGCAUCAUCAUGUAGGUUUUUAGUGUUCAAAUCCAUCCUUCAACUAAGUUAUUCUAGCAUAAUUUAAAAAUUAUUGUUUGAUUAGUUAGUAAAAAAAAUAAUUGACUAAUCAGAUAAUAAAAUCAUGAGGUAAAAUUUCAUACGAACUCGCUUCCUCUGUCGCUCUGGUUCUCUUCUUCGUACACACUCUCCCUCUUUUGUUGCUCACAUAUCGUAAAGCACGCCGUAGGCUAUACUGAGAGCCUACCAGCGUAAGUAAGAGAGCUAGUAUUUGAAAGUUUGCUACAACCAGUAAAUAUGCAAAAUCAUUAAAAUGAAAUUUAAAUUUUCAUUACUUACAACACAAUUUUGAAGAAUGGUUAAAUGACCUCCGUCCUCUACCGUUCUGAUUCUCUUCUUCGUACACACUCUCUCCCUCUUUUGUUGCUCACAUACCGUAAAGCACGCUGUAGGCUGUACUGAGAGCCUGCGAGCGUAAAUAAGAGAGCCAGUAUUCGCAGGUUUGCUACAACUAGUAAAUAUGCAAAAUCAUUAAAAUAAAAUUUGAAUUUUCAUCACUUACAAGAAGAAUGGUCAAUGACCUUCGUCCUCUUGCCAGCGACGCAAGAAACAAGAAAAACAUACCAAAAUCCAAAAAAUAUAAUAUGAAAGAAAAAAAAGAGAGAUACUUCAUAAAACACAGCAGCUCAUAGUACUAAACCACUGUGUGGUCUAGCUCUAAUAUGUUGAUUACCAAUUCAGUAAAUACAACUUUAUUAGAAACAUUGAAGAAACAAAAGAAACUGUUGACCAAGUACUCCUGCAACUGAAAAAUACGAGUUCCUGCCAAUACCAUUAUCUGCCAUCAAAACGGACCACAAAUCUUUUUAACUAAAAUGAUCAUGGAGAAGAUCUCCUUGCUAUGCUCCAUAUGAAAUUUUUUUAAAACUUAAUGUGAUAAAUGAUGCGAAAAUAGAUAGCGUUGUAACUUUCUCCAACUUCAUCAAAAAAUAUUAAAGAACAAAUUAGGAUGAAAAAAACAAAAUUAAAAUGAAAAAUAGGAUAAAAGAAGAAAGACAAACCUACCUGGGGCUCAAAGGAACAUGUUAAAUGUAUUUAGAAACAGAGACCAAAAGAUCACCUUUGCAAACUCCAUCAAAAACAGAACCUACUAAAUCAAAUUCCAGAAGAGAGUUUGUCUGUAAAAUUAUUGAAGCUAAUCUGGAAUAUUUAGAUGAAAAAACAAGAAACUGCUGCUAUUUUUGAGUAAAAUUCAAGUCUAUAAAUCAUGGUAGAAAGGAAUAAGAAAAACAACAUCUCCCCAGUUUAGAAAGUUGCUGCUAUGUUCAUAACAAGAAAGAACUCGAAUUAAUUUAGAAAUAUGUUAUGUGUGAAAUUUAGGAAGAGGGCUUUUAGGGUUUAUAGAAUGUAGCAAACAAAGAGAGAAGUGCAGAGAGAGAGAAUAACAGAGAAGAGAACACAGAGAGAAAGAGAACAACAAUUCAUUAUUCCUCAUUGCAUGUCUUCCUUUGCCAGGUUUCCAGUUAUUUACGUAGCAUCUGUUCUUAACUAACUAACUAAUUGUUUGUCAGCAUCAGUUAUUUUCAGCUAUAUCUCUAAUUUCAUCUUCCACACAUAACAAAACAAGUUUAUGAAACUAAAAACAUUAAAUAAGAAGAAUAAGUCACCUAUGCAAACUCCAUGAUAGGAGAACCAAAUAAAAAUAAACUCCAUGAAUGAUCACCUACCAAUAUUAAGAGAUAAGUAAAAAUCACCUCCGGCUACCGUUGGGUCUUUGAAGAGAAAGACAUAUCUCUUCUUUCGAUCUUCUUCAUCCCUCUUUCUUUGCUCUUCUUUUCUUUCUCUAUUUGGCUCUUUACUCCCAAUAAACUGAAAAAGAAAUACAAUGGUAGAGAGAGGACAAUUUAAUUUGUUUUCUAUCAUCUUCUUCCUUACCGCUUUCUGAUAUUCUUUUCUUUCCCUCUCCACAUUGAAGAGAAUGGAGAGUUUCAGAUCCAUGUCUGCUCGUUUCUGUCUUUUUCCCACUUUUCUCUCUCCGUUAUGCUUGUAUUUCUCACCUUCUAUCCGGGCAAGGCUUGUGAACAAAAGAGAUUGAAAUUUAACAGAAUGACUAAGUAGUGUUGGGUCUUGAAGAGAAACCCAUCUAUCUUCUUUUCGAUCUUCUUCUUCCUUCUUUCUUUGUUCUUCUUUUCUUUCUCUAUUUGAUACCUCGCUCUCAAGAAACUGAAGAAGAAAAAGAAUGAUAGAAGGAGCCAUUUUAAUCUUGUUUUCUAUCUUCGUCUUCCUCAUCUCUUUCCGAUAUUCGCUUCUUUCCCUUCCGACAUUGAAGAGAACGAAGAGUUUCAGACCCAUGUCUGUUCUUUCCUAUCUUUUUCCCCGUUCUCUCCCGUUGUUAUGCUUGUAUUUCUCUCCUCUCUGCGCAAGGCUUGUGGGCAAGAGAUUGAAUCUUUCAAUACUGUUGGGUCUUUAAGAGAACCCAUCUAUCUUCUUUUCGAUCUUCUUCUUCCCUCUUUCUUUGCUCUUCUUUUCUUUCUCUAUUUGGCUCUUUGCUCCCAAUAAACUGAAAAAGAAAUAAAAUGGUAGAAAGAGGACAAUUUAAUUUGUUUUCUAUCAUUCUUCCUUAACUCUUUCUGAUAUUCUUUUCUUUUCCUCUCCACAUUGAAGAGAAUGGAGAGUUUCAGAUCCAUGUCUGCUCGUUUCUGUCUUUUUCCCCUUUUUCUCUCUCUGCUAUGCUCGUACUUCUCACCUUCUCUCUGGGCAAGGCUUGUGAACAAGAGAGAUUGAAAUUUAACAGAAUGACUAAGUAGUGUUGGGUCUUUAAGAGAAACCCAUAUAUCUUCUUUUCGAUCUUUUUUUUUCCUUCUUUCUUUGCUCUUCUUUUCUUUCUCUAUUUGAUUCUUUGCUCUCAAGAAACUGAAAAAGAAAUAGAAUGGUAGAGAGAGGACAAUUUAAUUUGUUUUCUAUCAUCUUCUUCCUUACCGCUUUCUGAUAUUCUUUUAUUUCCCUCUCCACAUUGAAGAGAAUGGAGAGUUUCAGAUCCAUGUCUGCUCGUUUCUGUCUUUUUCCCCGUUCUCUCCCUCUGUUAUGCUUGUAUUUCUCUCCUCUCUGCGCAAGGCUUGUGGGCAAGAGAUUGAAUCUUUCAAUACUGUUGGGUCUUUAAGAGAACCCAUCUAUCUUCUUUUCGAUCUUCUUCUUCCCUCUUUCUUUGCUCUUCUUUUCUUUCUCUAUUUGGCUCUUUGCUCCCAAUAAACUGAAAAAGAAAUAGAAUGGUAGAAAGAGGACAAUUUAAUUUGUUUUCUAUCAUCUUCUUCCUUACCUCUUUCUGAUAUUCUUUUAUUUCCCUCUCGACAUUGAAGAGAAUGGAGGGGUUUCAGAUCCAUGUCUGGUCGUUUCUGUCUUUUUCCCCUUUUUCUCUCUCUCUUUUGUGCUUGUAUCUCUCUUCUUCUCUCUGGGCAAGGCCAGAUCUGAAAACAAAGAACGUUGAAAACUUUUUGAAAGUAAAAGAAAGGAAGAAGGUGGUCUGAAGAGGAGAAUCGCACGGUCAGUUUGCUUUUAAAGGGAAAAUAAAGAAAUUCAGACUGCGUUAAAAGGACGCCGACAACGGUCAAUUUGUUUUUUAAAAAACUUUUUAAAAAAAAGAAAAAGAAAGAAAAAAGCAACUACUGCAUUAAAAAAGUUAAACUACCCGGAGCCAGGCUUAGGGUGUUGUUUUAAAUUUUUGUUAUAUUUUAUAAAAAAUUAAAACAUCUUUAUGAUAAAAAACUGUAAUUAUUAAUAAAAAAAAUAAUAAAUUAAAAAUUUAUUUUAAAAGUAAAAUAUCAUAAAUAAGAAUGUGUGAUAAACACUUAUUAAUUAAUUCUAAAAAAAUGUACAUGAUUAUUUGACAGAAAAAUGAAAAAGACUCCCUUGUAGAUGAUUUUUUUUAUUAAUUAUUAUUGAAAGAAAAUAAAAAUAAAUAAAUUUAAAACGGAUAAACAUAAUUUUACAAUUAAUUUUAACAAUUUAUGUUAGAAUAUAAAUAAUUAAUUAUAAUAUUUUUCUAUAAUUUCUUAAAUAAUUAAUUUAAUCAAUCAUUUAAUACAAUCAAAACAUAUAUACUUUUUGAAUUUUCUAUAUGCAUUAAAAUAGCAGUAUCUUAACCACACAUUUGAAGAAAAGUAACAACACAAUAUUAUCUAUAAAAAAAAAUGUAAGACAAACAAUAGGAAUAUUUUAAAUUUUUUGCCUAAAGAAUCACAUAAUAACAAGAGUUAAUUAUUUUAGCUAGCUGAGCAAAAAUAAAAUAUUGGGUACAUAAUUAUUUACUUCAUCUUUGGAGUUUGAAAUCUACAAUAAGCAAAUAAAAGUGAGCAAAUCAAUUUGUAAAUAACCAAGAUUCGUCAAUGUUAUAAUUCAAAGAAGUAAAAAACCAUUAGCAAAUAAAUGGAACAUAUGGAUAAUUUUCUAUGGGAACUAUGCAUACCAAAAUUGAAAUAUAAAAGAAGAGAACCAAGCAAUUAAAUGUAACAUAUGCAUAGUUUGGCAUGAAAAUAUUUUUAUGAUAAAAAACUGUAAUUAUUAAGAAAGAGAUAAUAAAUUAAAAGUUUUUUUUAAGUAAAAUAUCAUAAAUAAGAAUGUGUGAUAAACACUUUUUAAUUAAUUCUAAAAAAUGUGAAUGUGGAUUUUACUGGGAAAUAGAAAAAAAUAAAAAAAAUAAAAAUUGACAGAAAAAUGAAAAAGAGCACCUUCUAGAUGAUUUUUUUUUAUUAAUUAUUACUGAAAGAAAAUAAAAAUAAAUAAAUUUAAAACGGAUAAAUAUAAUUUUACAAUAAAUUUUAAUAAUUUAUGUUAGAAUAUAAAUAAUUAACUAUGAUAUUUUUUUAUAAUUUUUUAGAUAAUUAAUUUAAUCAAUUAUUUAAUACAAUCAAAAUAUAUAUACUUUUUAGGUUCUUUAUAUGCAUUAAAGCAACAUUAUCUCAACCACAUAUUUAGAGAAAAGUAAUACCUUUCAUGUAUGAUAAAUAUGGACACCAACCACUGCAUGUCAAUUAAAAAUAGGACAAAAAAAAAAGAUAAAAAUGCGCCCAGACCACUCAAGUAACAAAACAAUGUUAUCUAUAAAAGAAUAAAAAAUGCAAAACAAACAACUGGACUAUUUUAAAUUUUUCGCUUAAAGAGUCACAUAAUUACAAGAGCUAAUUAUUUUAACUACUGAGCAAAAACAAAAUAUUGGGUACACGAUUAUUUACCUCAUCUUUGGAGUUCGAAAUUAACAAUAAGCAAAUAAAAGUGAGCAAAUCAAUUUGUAAAUAAUAAAGAUUCGUCAAUAUUAUAAUUCAAAGAAGUAAAAAAUCAUUAGCAAAUAAAUAGAACAUAUGGAUAAUUUUCCAUGGGAACUACGCGUACCAAAAUUGAAAUAUAAAAAAAAAAUCAACUAGAACCAGGAAUAACAAGCAUUAAAAGAGAACAAUAAACAUAUCUUUUUAUGAAUAAAUAAGAUUUUUCUAUAUUGUAAUUUAAAUGAAAAGAGAACUAAGCAAUUAAAUGUAACAUAUGCAUAGUUUGGCAUGACAAAACGGAUAUCAAAACUUCAAAUUAAAAAAACGACUAAAACAAAGAACAAACAUCAAAAUAGGACAAUUUUAUUAUUCUCAGCAUAAUAUUUAAAAUUGUUUUUUGAAUACUGUUAUGUAUACACACAUAAAAGAAAUUCAUUAAGCAAAUAAUGCUAAUUUUAUUAAUUUAUAAUCAUUUCAACUCAUACAAAUGUAAAAAAUGACAUGUUCGUUCUAUAGGCUGAUAUUUGAGAUUUAUUAUUUUUUUAUCCUUCACUUUUAUUUACUCAUUUCUAGGCAAUUAGUAGUCAAAAUCCUAGAUCACCUCAAUUCUUAAAACAAACAUUCAUUGGAUUCAAAUAUCAAAUAGAUAUACUAUAAAUUUAAGUCAAGGUUCUCCAAUAGUCAUCACUUGCAACUCUUCCAACAGUAUUUUUGACAUACAGCUAAUGUUGUAAAUUUACCAAACAUUUCUUUUUCUUAAGCACCAAUCCCUAAGUUCACUUUUCAUAAUUGGAAAACAAUAUUCUAAUGAACAUCCUUCAAUAAUUACAAUCAUCCUCUAUCUACUAUAUCAACUCGCAACACCUUGAACUAUUUAAUCCAUGACUUUAUCACUAAGAUCUUCAAAAUAAGAAAAUGAACGAUAACUCUAAAUUAUAGAUUUCUAAAAAUUAAACUCUUAAAAUAAAAUAAUCCUCCAAUCUAAAUCUAAAGUAAAGUUAACAUAUGAUAAAUCUUUAAGUUAGAAUUUCUUUGUCACUUACACCAUAAUAGUUUUUUAAUGAAGUAAGAAAGCUUGGCUCUCCAUCUACAUUUCGUAUUUUUUUAUUACACCAUAAUUUAUGGAUAUAAUCUUGCAGUAGAUUUAGUUCGGGUGCUAGAAAAAAUUGUUUUUUCAUUGCAAGUGAAGCAUUUUGCAAUACGUUCGGAGGCCACAUUACAUAAACUAUUAGGGUCCAAUACACACUUAAUGUAGCAAAUGAGUAUAUUUAUUGCGAGGUAUAUUAACCUGUUGGCUAACUCCGAUACUCAAAACUCUUCUUCAUGUUCUACUAGUGAUGUCAUCUUAUAAACUAUCUUUACUUGAUACUUUUAUUUGUCAAACUCUUUUUUCAAUUACAAAUUACUUUUAACUCUUAUUGUAUUCAAACUAUGUAUUAUCUUUUAGAAUUAGAUUCAAAAGAAAAUUACAUACAUUUGCAAUCUUCUUUUUCUUCUAUAUCUUCCCUUGAAACGAUAAUUUACCACCAUCUUGGAGCUAAAAUUAAACAAGAACUUACCUCCACAAACUUACUACUAACUACUCUAUUCCUAUUAGCUUCAAUACAUAAAAAGUCAAUCAGUGUCCACUUCCUAACAUUACUCAACAAUCCUAACCAUCUAAGUUUAAAUAAACCACUGUGGAUGAUACCACAUAACAACCAACAACCACCAUCUUUCUAACAACGGGCUAUGACCAAAACAAAAAAAUAUUAAACCAUACAAAAGAAAGUAAUCUACCUCCAAAAACCUACAAAAUGAUUCAAGUCAUCUUAAAACACCAAUUACAUCGAAUAUCUUAGAACAAUACUAACCGACCAGUGUGUUAGAGCUAAAAUCAAACAAAGACUUUCUGGCCUAUCACUAGUACUCUAUACCUAUGAGCUUUAGUACAUAAAAAUCAAUCAACAUCAAUUCCUAGUCUUAUCUGAAAAAAGCAAUCCUAACUAUUUAGUUUUGAAUGCAUCACUAGCUACUCACUAAAUACUCGAUACCUAUAAGCUUUAAUACAUAAAAGUUAAUCAACAUUCAAUUCCUAAUCUUAGUUGAAAAUAACAAUUCUAACUAUCUAAUUUUAAAUAUAUCUCUAAGGAUGAUAUUAUAUAUUUGCCAACAACCACAAGUCAUUCUGUCUACUAGCCAUGAUCCAAAGGGAAAACCAGUAGACCAUACAGAGAAAAGUAAAAUAUUUUGAGAAAAUUAUUAGUUUAUUCAAGUUACCCUAAAAACACCAACUACGUUGUAUUUCUUAAAAAUAAUAUUGAUCUACCACUAUGUAUGAGCUAAAGCCAAAGUUAUAACGAGUGUAUAUUAUUUUGCAAAUGGUAAACAAGUAACUUUCAAGCAACUGAAGAAAUCAUUCAAUCGCAUUUUAGGAUUGAAGAUUAAGUUUAAGAAUGAUUAAAGAAAGAAAGAGAGAGAGAGAGAGAGAAAGACAAGAGAUACUAAGUGUUUUAAGAAGCCACCAACCAGAAUUGAGUAAGUUCUCAGCUUCCCGCCUGUGGACAGGUGUGGAGGAAAUAUAUCAGAAUGAUCAUUAAAUAGUGAAGGGAACAUUUUAUCAUACUGAAGAUGCAAAUGUUGCAACAAUUGAAAGAAUAAAUGAGAAGUAUGCAACACAAAUAAUAAAAUAAUGAGGUAAAAUUUCAUACGCACUCUCUUCCUCUGCCGUUCUAUUUUUCUUCUUCGUACACACUCUCCCUCUUUUGUCGCUCACAGACCGUAAAACAUGCAGCAGACUAUACUGAGAACUUGCCAGCGUAAGUAAGAGAGUCAGUAUUCUCAUGUUUGCUACAACCAAUCAACAUGCAAAAUCAUUAAAAUGAAAUUUUAAUUUUCACCACUUACAGUGCAAUUUUGAAAAAUGGUCGUGACCUCCGUCCUCUUGCCAACGAGCGAGAAAAAAGACAAACAUAUCAAAACCCAAAAAAUAUAAUGUGAAAGACAAGAAGAAAGAAAUACCACAUAAAACACAGUAGCUCUUCGUACCAAUUCAGUAAAUGCAACCUUAUUAAAAACAUUGACGAAUCAAAAGAAACUACUGACCACUCCUGCAAUCAAAGAAAACAAGUUACCGCCAUCACAGUAUCUGCCAUCAAAUCGAACCACAGAUCUACUUUUCGACUAAAAUGAUCAUGCAGUAGAUCUCCAUGUUAAGCUCCAUCAACUAACUUUUUAAAACUAAAUGUGAUAGAUGAUGCUGAAAUAGAUAGCGUUGUAAAUCUCUCCAACUCCAUCAAAAAAAAUUUAAAAACAAUUAGGCUAAAAAAGCAAAAAAAAAAAGAAAAAUAUGAUAAAAGAAGAAAGACAAACCUCUUAUUCCACAGAUACCUUAUAAUUCACGUCUAAAAAAGUGCUACCAACAAAGAAAAAAAAACAUAAAUGACACAUCUGGACCAUCUUAAACGUUUUUCCUAAAGAGUUACACACUAACAAGAUAUAAAACUGUUAUCUACCCAAAAAGAUAAAAAUAUAUGCUUAUUUACCUUAAAACUGCUAACUAAGAUUGAUAAUAAUCUUCGGUGGUCCUAUAUUAAAGUAAACAAAAAUAAUAUUGCUAAGUAAUCCUAAAUAGAAAAGAAAAUAUCUAAUAGAAAAUAAAAUUUAUGUCAAAGCAUAGGAAAAUAAACCUCUUAUUCCACGUAUAUCUUAUAACCUAACAUGUUUCAAGCAGUGUUACCCACAAAAGAGAAAAAAACAGAGAUAAUAUAUGAUUGGUCUCUGUUCAACAUUUUGCCUAAAGAUUUUCAUAAUAGCAAAGAAAGAAAAUUUUAACUAGUUAUGAAAAAAAUAUAAUAUUAAAUACGUGUUUAUUUACCUAAUUUUUGCCGUUUGAAAUCUACAACAACUACACAAAAGUAAGCAUAUCAAUUUAUAAAUGAUCAAAGCCUUUUUACAUCGUAAUUAAAAUAAGAAGAAAACCAAUAGUAAUUAAAUGUAACAUAUGUGCACAGCUUGGCAUGGACAGAUAUCAAAACUUCAAAUUAAAAAUGAACGACUAAAAUCAAGAAGAAUAAAUAUUAAAAGAGGACAAUUUUGUUGUCUUCUGUAUAACAUUAAAAACAGCUUCAAGUAUUGCUAUGUUAGUGUACACAUAAAGAAAUUCACUUACGAAAUAAUGCUAAAUUAUUUCAAUUUAUAAUCAUUUAACCUCAUGCAAGUAUUAAAAUGAGAUAUUCGUUUUCAGGGCUGAUACUUGGGUUUUACUCUUUUUUCUUAUCAGUUUAUAAGGGUAGUUGUAAUUUUUUACAGGUACUUUAUCGUUAUUAUGUUUGAUAUAUUUGUUUGCAGAGAAAGUUGAAGAACUAAAUUUAAUUUUUAUUUUGGUUUACUUGAGUUUUUGAUUAUAUUUGAGUUUUUUUUUUGUAAUUGUAUUAGUAUUUGAGCGCCUACUUGUUGUAUUUUCACUCGAGUUAGUUGUUUGUUUCAUUUAUUUGAAAUUGCAAAAAAAAUCAAUUGGAUUUUUCUUUCAGUGUACUUGGAUUUGUAACUGUAUUUGAGUUUGUUUGUUUUUUAUUCCAAUAUCGGUUUCUAAUUACAAUUUGUUUGCUAUGCAUUGUUGAUAUCGAUCUAUCGUCAUAUAGGUUUUUAGUGUUCAAAUCCAUCCUUCAACUAAGUUAUGGUAGCAUAAUUUAAAAAUUAUUGUUUGAUUAGUUAGUAAAAAAAUAAAAAUAAUUGACUAAUCAGAUAAUAAAAUCAUGAGGCAAAAUUUCAUACGAACUCAUUUCCUCUGUUGCUCUGGUUCUCUUCUUCGUACACACUCCCCCUCUUUUGUCGCUCACAGACCAUAAAGCACGCCGCAGGCUAUACCGAGAACCUGCCAACGUAAGUAAGACAGCCACUAUUCGCAGGUUUGCUACAACAAGUAAUUAUGAAAAAUCAUUAAAAUAAAAAUUGAAUUUUCAUCACUUACAACACAAUUUUGAAGAAUGGUCAGGACCUCCUUCCAACGAUGCGAGAAAUAAGAUAAACAUACAAAAACCCAGUAAAUAGAAUGUGAAAGACAAGAAGAAAGAGAUACCUCAUAAAACACAGCAGCUCAUAGUACCAAAUGACUGUAUAAUAGACCAGCUCCAAUAUCCUGAUUACCAAUUCAGUAAAUGUAACCUUAUUAUAAACAUUAAAGAAACAAAAAAAUACCGCCGACCAAGCACUCCUGCAACCGAAGAAGAUGAGUUCCCGCCAUCAAAUCGAACCACAUAUAUUCUUUUCCACUAAAGUGAUCAUAGAGUAGAUCUCCUUGUAGCUCCAAAUGAAACCUUUUUAAAACUUAAUGUGAUAGAUGAUACAGAAAUAGAUAGCGUUGUAACUCUCUCUAACUCCAUCAAAAAAAUUUAAAAAAUAAAUUAGGCUUAAAAAAAGCAAAACUAAAUUGAAAAAUAUGAUAAAAGAAGAAAGACAAACCUCUUAUUCCACGGAUACCUCAUAAUCCACGUUUAAAAGAGUGCUACCAACAAAAAAAAAUAAAAUACAAGUGACACACCUAUACUAUCUUAAACUUUUUAUCUAAAGAGUUACAUACUAACAAAAUAUAAAAAUUUUAACUACCCAAAAAGAUAAAAACCCAUGCUUAUUUACCUUAAAAGUGCUCCCUAAGAUUGAUAAUAACGUUCACUAGUCCUACAUUAAAGUAAACAUAAAGAAUAUUACUGAGUAAAUAAUUCUAAAUAGAAAAAAAUUAUAUAUAUAUAUUAGAAAAUAAAAUUUAUAUCGUAAGUAAAGCAAAAUAAACCUUUUGUUCUACGAAUAUCUUAUAAACCAACAUGUUUCUAGUAGUGUUACUCACAAAAGAUAACAAAAAAAAGAUAAUAUAUGAUUGGACUCUCUUUAACUUUUUGCCUAAAGAUCUUUAUAGUAACAAAGAAAGAAAAUCUUAACUAGUUAUAGAAAAAAUAUAAUAUUGAAUACGUGUUUAUUUACCUGAUUUUGAGCGUUUGAAAUCUACAACAAUUACACAAAUGUGAGUAUAUCAAUUUAUAAAUGAUCAAGACUCUUUUAAAAUCAGAAGAAAACCAAUGGCAACUAAAUGUAACAAAUGCAGGCAUAGACGGAUAUCAAAACUUUAAAUUAAAAAAAAAACAACUAAAAUAAAAAAGAAAAGACAUUAAAAGAGGACAAUUUUGUUGUCUUCUGCAUAACAUUAAAAACAGCCUCAAGUAUUACUAUGUUAAUGUACACAUAAAGAAAUUCACUGACAAAAUAAUGCUAAAUUGUUUCAAUUUAUAAUCAUUUCUACUCACGCAAAUAUUAAAACGAGAUAUUCGUUUUCAGGGCUAAUACUUGGGUUUUACCAUUUUUCCUUGUCAGUUUGUAAGGGAAGUUGUAAUUUGUUUGCGGUAAUUUAUCGUUAUUGUGUUUGAGAUGUUUGUUUGCAGGGAAAGUUGAAGAGUCAAAUGUACUUUUUGUUUUGGUUUACUUGACUUUGUAAUUGUAUUUGAGUUUGUUUGUAAGGGUAGAUGUAAUUUAUUUGUUAUAGUUUCUCGUUAUUGUGUUUGAGAUUUUUGUUAUCUGGAAAAGUUGAAGAGUUAAAUGUAAUUUUUGUUUUGGUUUACUUAAAUUUGUGAUUCUAUUUGAGUUUGUUUGUAAUUGUAUUAGAAUUUCAACGCCUACUUCUUGUUAAAAUAUGUCGUUUUAGUUUGUUGUAAUUUCACUCAAGUUAGUUGUUUGUUUUAUUUAUUAGGAAUUACAAGAAAAUCAAUUGGAUUUUUCUUUCAGUGUACUUAGAUUACUGACUGUAUUCGAGUUUUUUUGUAUUUUUGUUCCAAUUUCAGUUUCUAAUUAUAAUUUGUUUGCUUUGCAUUGUUCAUAUCGAUCUAUCGCAUGUAGCUUUUUAGUGUUCAAAUCCAUCAUUUAACUAAGUUAUAGUAGCAUAAUUUAAAAAUUAUUGUUUGAUUAGAUAGUAAAAAAUUAAAAAUAAUUGACUAAUCAGAUAAUAAAAUCAUGAGGUAAAAUUUCAUACGAACUCGCUUCCUCUGUCGCUCUGGUUCUCUUCUACGUACACACUCUCCCUCUUUUGUCGCUCACAGACCGUAAAGCACGCCGCAGGCUAUACCGAGAACCUGCCAUCGUAAGUAAGACAACCACUAUUCGCAGGUUUGCUACAACAAGUAAUUAUGCAAAAUCAUUAAAACAAAAAUUGAAUUUUCAUCACUUACAGCACAAUUUUCAAGAAUUAUCAGAACCUCCUUCCUUUUGUCAGCGACGCGAGAAACAAGACAAAAAUACCAAAACUCAGAAACUAUAAUGUGAAAGAUAAGAAGAAAGAGAUACCUCAUAAAACACAACAGCUCAUAGUACCAAACAACUGUGUAACAGACCAGCUCCAAUAUCCUGAUUACCAAUUCAGUAAAUGCAACCUUAUUAGAAAUAUUAAAAAAAUAAAAAAUAACCGCUGACCAAGUACUCCUGCAACCGAAGAAGACGAGUUCCCGCCAUCACCAGUAUCUGCCAUCAAAUUGAACCACAUAUCUUCUUUUCCACUAAAGUGAUCGUAGAGUAGAUCUCCUUGUAGCUCCAAAUAAAACUUUUUAAAAACAGAAUGUGAUAGAUGAUGCUGAAAUAGAUAGCGUUGUAACUCUCUCCAACUUCAUCAAAAAAAUUUAAAAAAUAAAUUAGGCUUUAAAAAAUUAAAACUAAACUUAAAAAUAUGAUAAAAGAAGGAAGACAAACCUCUUAUUCCACGGAUACCUCAUAAUCCACGUCUAAAAGAGUGCUACCAACAAAAAAGAAUAAAACACAAGUGACACGUCUGGACCAUCUUAAACUUUUUACCUAAAGAGUUACAUACUAACAAAAUAUAAAAAUUUUAACUACCUAAAAAGAUAAAAACACAUGCUUAUUUACCUUAAAAGUGCUCCUUAAGAUUGAUAAUAACAUUCGCUAGUCCUACAUUAAAGUAAACAUAGAGAAUAUUGUUAAGUAAAUAAUUCUAAAUAUAAUAUAUAUAUAUAUAUAAUAGAAAAUAAAAUUUGUAUCGUAAGCAAAGUAAAAUAAACCUUUUGUUUCACGAAUAUCUUAUAACCCAACAUGUUUUCAGCAGUGUUACCCACAAAAAAGAACAAAAAAUAUAUAUAUAUGAUUGAACUCUAUUUAACUUUUUGCUUAAAGAUCUUCAGAGUAACAAAGAAAGAAAAUUUUAACUAGUUAUAGAAAAAACAUAAUAUUGAAUACGUGUUUAUUUACCUGAUUUUUGCCGUUUGAAACCUACAACAAUUACACAAAAGUGAGCAUAUCAAUUUAUAAAUGAUCAAGACUCUUUUAAAAACAGGCAUGCACGGAUAUCAAAACUUCAAAUUAAAAAAAAUGACUAAAAUCAAGAACAACAGACAUUGAAAGAGGACAAUUUUGUUGUCUUCUGCAUAACAUUAAAAACAAUCUCAGGUAUUACUAUGUUAAUGUACACAAAGAAAUUCACUGACAAAAUAAUGCUAAAUUUUUUUAUUUUAUAAUCAUUUCAACUCAUGCAAAUAUUAAAACGAGAAUUUGUUUUUAGGGUUGAUACUUGGGUUUUAUUCUUUUUCUUUGUCAGUUUGUAAUUUGUUUGCAGUAAUUUGUCGUUAUUGUGUUUGAGAUGCUUGUUUACAGGAAAAGUUGAAGAGCCAAAUGUAAUUUUUAUUUUGGUUUACUUGACUUUGUAAUUGUAUUUGAGUUUAUUUGUAAGGGUAAAUGUAAUUUGUUUCUUGUAGUUUCUCGUUAUUGUGUUUGAGAUGUUUGUUUGUUGGAAAAAUUGAAGAGCUAAAUGUAAUUUUUAUUUUGGUUUACUUGAGUUUGUGAUUGUAUUUGAAUUUAUUUGUAAUUGUAUUAGAAUUUCAGCGGCUACUUGUUUUCGUUUAUUGUACAGUUUCACUCGACUUAGUUGUUUGUUUCAUUUUUAUGGAAUUGCAAAAAAAUCAAUUGAAUUUUUCUUUCAGUAUACUUGAAUUUGUUAAUGUAUUUGAAUUUGUUUGUAUUUUUAUUCCAAUUUCAGUUUCUAAUUACAAUUUGUUUGUUUUGCAUUGUUCAUAUCGAUCUAGCGUCAUGUAGGUUUUUAAUGUUCAAAUCCAUCCUUCAACUAAGUUAUGGUAGCAUAAUUUAAAAAUUAUUAUUUGAUUAGUUAGUAAAAAAAUAAAAAUAAUUGACUAAUCAGAUAAUAGAAUCAUGAGGUAAACUUUCAUACGAACUCUCUUCCUCUGCCGUUCUGGUUCUCUUCUUCAUACACACUCUCCCUCUUUUGUUGCUCACAUACCGUAAAGCCCGCCGUAGGCUAUACUGAGAGCUUGCCAGCGUAAGUAAGAGAGUCAGUAUUCGCAGGUUUGCUACAAUCAGUAAAUAUGCAAAAUUAUUAAAAUGAAAUUUGAAUUUUCACAACUUACAGCACAAUUUUAAAGAAUGGUCAUGACCUCCGUCAUCUUGCCAGCGACGCGAGAAACAAGACAAACAUACCAAAAUCUAAGAAAUAUAAUGGAAAAAACAAGAAGAAAGAGAUACCUCAUAAAACACAGCAGCUCAUAGUACCAAACCACUGUAUGGUCUAGCUCCAAAAUCCUAAUUACCAAUUAAGUAAAUGCAACCUUAUUAGAAACAUUGAAGAAACAAAAGAAACUGCUGACCAAGUACUCCUGCAACCCAAGAAGACGAGUUCCCGCCAGUACCAUUAUCUGCCAUCAAAUCGAACUACAAAUCUUUUUAACUAAAAUGAUCAUGGAGAAGAUCUCCUUAUGAAGCUCCAUUUAAAAACUUUUUAAAACUUAAUGUGAUAAAUGAUGCAGAAAUAAAUAACAUUGUAACUCUCUCCAACUCCAUUAAAAAAUAUUAAAGAAAAAAUUAGGAUGAAAAAAACAAAACAAAACUGAAAAACAGGAUAAAAGAAGAAAGACAAACCUCUUAUUCUGCUGGUUCCUCAUAAUCUAUAUCUAAAAGAGCGUUACGAACAAAAGAAAACAAAACACAAGUGACACGCCUGGACCAUCUUAAACGUUUUGACAAAGAGUUACGCACUAACAAAAUAUAAAAAUAUUAGCUACCCAAAAAGAUAAAAACACAUGAUUAUUUACGUUAAAAGUGUUUCUAAGAUUGAUAAUAACCUUCGGUAGUCCUAUAUUAAAGUAACCAAAAAGAAUAUAGUUAAGUAAAUAAUUCUAAAUACUAAAAAAUAUAUGUAAUAAAAAAUAAAAUUCAUGUCAUAAGCAUUAAAAAAUAAACCUUUUAUUUCACAAAUAUAUCAUAGCCCGACAUUUCUCCAGCAAUGUUACCCAGAAAAGAGAACAAAACAAAGAUAAUAUAUGAUUAGAUUCCUUUCAACUUUUUACCUCAAGAUCUUCAUAAUAACAAAGAAAUAAAAUUUUAACUAGUUAAAGAAAAAACAUACUAUUAAAUAUAUGUUUAUUUAUCUGAUUUUUACCAUUUGAAAUCUACAACAACUACACAAAAGUAAGCAUAUCAAUUUAUAAAUGAUCAAGACUCUUUUAUGUUGUAAUUCAAAUCAGAAGAGAAUCAAUAGCAAUUAAAUAUAAUAUAUGCACAACUUGACAUGGACAUUGAAAACGACCAUUAAAAGAGGACAAUUUUGUUGUCCUCUGCAUGACAUUAAAAACAACCUCAAGUAUUGCUAUAUUAAUGUACACAUAAAGAAAUUCAUUGACGAAAAAUACUAGAUUGUUUUAAUUUAUAAUCAUUUCAACUCAUGAAAAUGUUAAAAACGAAAUAUUCAAUUUUUGGGUUGAUACUUGAAGUUCACUCUUUUUCCUUGUCAGUUUGUAAGGAUAGUUGUAAUUUAUUUGUUGUAGUUUGUCGUUAUUGUGUUUGAGAUGCUUGUUUGCUAAAAAAGUUGAAGAGCUAAAUGAAAUUUUUGUUUUGGUUUAAAAGCUAUUAGGUUUCUAAAAUCUUCAAAAUAAGAAAAUGAACGAUAACUCUAAAUUAUAAGUUUGUAAAAAUUAAACUCUUAAAAUAAAAUAAUCCUCCAAUCUAAAUCUAAAGUAAAGCUAACAUGUGAUAAAUCUUUAAAUUAGAAUUUUUCAGUCGCAGAAUUUUAUGUAUUUUAAAAACUAUUAAUUUUUUAAUGAAGUAAGGAAACUUAGCUCUCCAUCUACAUUUCGCAUUUUUUUUAUUAAAUUAUGUAGUUGAAAAAUUCAUGGAUAUAAUCUUGCAGUAGAUUUAGUUCGGGUGCCAAAAAAAAUUGUUUUUUCAGUGCAAGUGCAGCAUUUUUGCAAUACGUUCACAAGCCACAUUACAUAAACUAUUAGGAUCCAAUACACACACUUAAUGCAGCAAAUAAGUAUAUUUAUUUCGAGGUGUAUUAACCUGCUGCCUAACUCCGAUGCUCCAAACUCUUCUUCAUGUUCUACUAGUGAUGUCAUCUUAUAAACUAUCUUUACUUGAUACUUUUAUUUACCAAACUUUUCUUUCAAUUACAAAUUACUUUUAACUGUUAUUGUAUUCAAACUAUGUAUUAUCUUUUAGAAUUAGAUUCAAAAGAAAGCCACCAACUGGAAUUGAGCAAGUUCUCAGCUUCCCGUAUGCGGACAUACCUUUCAUGCUAUUUCAGUGCCAAAGUUCACUAGCCCAUGUCGACAGGUGUGGAGGAAAUAUAUUAGGAUGAUCACUGAAUAGUGAAGGGAACAUCUCAUCAUACUGAAAAAGCAAAUAUUGCAACAAUUGAAAGCAUAAAUGAGAAAUAUGCGACACUUUAGAAAAUAUUUCUAAUUAUGAAAAUAUUUAAAGGAAAGUUCACAAGAUAAAAUAGUUUUUUAUAGUUUUUUAAGAAGUUUUAGAUUGUGAAAGAAAUGAUAAGUUAGAAAAUUAAAAAAGACUAUAGAUUACCAUCUAUGCAAUAGAGCUCCAAAUCCAAUCGUUAUUCUUGCUUUUAUUUUUAGUAUAUUUAUUUUUGUUGUAACAUUUUUACGCUGUUAGUUUUCAAGAAAACCCGAAUACUCUGAAUACUUUGGGAGGGUAAUCAAUCAAGCAAUUCUUCUUUUCGAAAGUUCCCUCAAUCGGAAAAGGGUAAUAUGUUCAUAUUUGAUUCAUACAUUAGCAUAUAACUAUGGAAUAUCCACAGCAUUAUAUUCUAUUCCCAACCUACCUGGGUCUCAAAGGAACGUGUCAAAUGUACUUAGAAACAGAGACCAAAAUAUCAACUUCGCAAACUCCAUAAAAAACAGAACCUACUAAAUCAAAUUCCAGAAGAUAGUUUGUUUGUCUGUAAAAUUAUUAAAGCUAAAUUGGAAUAUUUAAAUGAAAAAACAAGAAACUGCUGCUAUCUUUUGAGUAAAUUUCAAGUCUAUAAAUCAUGGUAAAAAGGAAUAAGAAAAACAACAUCUCCCCAGUUAAGAAACCUGCUGCAAUGUUUAUAACAAGAAAGAACUCGAAUUAAUUUAGAAAUAUGUUAUGUGUGAAAUUUAGGAAGAGGGCUUUUAGGGUUUGGAAUGUAGCAAACAAAGAGAGAAGUGCAGAGAGAGUGAGAAACAGACAAAGAGAGAAUAAAAGAGAGAAGAGAACACAGAGAGAGACAGAGAACCAAUUCAUUAUUCCUCAUUACAGAUAUAGUUGAAAAUAACUUAUGCUAAGAAACAAUUAGUUAGUUAGUUAAGAACAGAUGCUACACAUAACAAAACAAAUUUAUGAAAACUAAAAACAUUAAAUAAGAAGAAUAAAUAAAUAAGAAGACAAACUGUAAAAAGAAAUUUAAAAAAAAAAGAUUUAUGUAAAACCCAGAUUAAGAGAGACUAAAUCACUUAUGCCAACUUCAUGAAAGGAGAACCAAAUAAAAAUAAACUCCAUGAAUGAUCACCUACCAAUAUUAAGAGAUAAGUAAAAAUACCUCCGGCUACCGUUGGGUCUUUGAAGAGAAAGACAUAUCUCUUCUUUCGAUCUUCUUCUUCCCUCUUUCUUUGCUCUUCUUUUCCUUCUCUAUUUGGCUCUUUACUCCCAGUAAACUGAAAAAGAAAUAGAAUGUUAGAAAGAGGACAGUUCAAUUUGUUUUCUAUCAUCUUCUUCCUUACCUCUUUCAGAUAUUCUUUUCUUUCCCUCUCCACAUUGAAGAGAAUGGAGAGUUUCAGAUCCAUGUCUGCUCGUUCCUGUCUUUUUCCCCUUUUUCUCUCUCUGCUAUGCUCGGACUUCUCACCUUCUCUCUGGGCAAGGCUUGUGAACAAGAGAGAUCGAAAUUUAACAGAAUGACUAAGUAGUGUUGGGUCUUGAAGAGAAACCCAUCGAUCUUCUUUUCGAUCUCCCUUGAAGAGAACGGAGAGUUUCAGAUCCAUGUCUGCUCGUUUCUGUCUUUUUCCCCUUUUUCUCUCUCUAUUAUGUUUGUAUUUCUCACCUUCUCUCUGGGCAAGGCUUGUGAACAAGAUAGAUUGAAAUUUAACAGAAUGACUAGGCAGUGUUGGGUCUUUAAGAGAAACCUAUCUAUCUUCCUUUC
rnacentral:lncRNA from 1 species